rnacentral:lncRNA from 1 species
CGUGGAGGGUAAUUCUCCAAACAUGCUAUUGUUUCGAAGGUUUAACAUACAAGGAUUUGUAUAUCCCAAAGUAGGUGGGAUUUUUCCUGUCAAAUUGUUGUUUCCUAAAUUUAAAUAAGCUAAAUUUUCCCAAUGAUUCCAACAAUCUGGAAUUUCUCCAAUGAGUAGAUUUAUAUCGAUGUAAAGAGCUACCAUCUCCUUUAAUGAUGGAUUACAAAUUAAUUCAGAAAGGGAUCCUGAAAAUGAAUUAUUUGACAAAAAUAAAUAUCUUAAAGUUGAGAGUACUCUUGGCAAUGGACCUGUAAAGCGGUUGGAACUCAAGUCAAUAGAGUUUGUUACAUUCAAAUAUGAAAUCCCUCCAGUAAGUUGAUUAUAGGAAAGAUUUAAAUAUUCAAAUUGAGUGGGAAGAUUCACAAACCAAGUGGGCAUGACGUCUGAAAUUGCUACAUGGGAGAUAUCCAAAGAAGACAAUUCUUUUUGGAAUUUUAACCACAGGGGAAACUUUGAGCCAAGAUGCCAGUGACCCAAUUCAAUAAUUUGACAUUGAAAUGGGGGAAUCCAACUUGAGUUUGGUUCAAAUCUAAGCCUAUUGUGUGACGCCUUUAGAGUUGUCAAUCUCGUGAGUUCAGAAAAAUGGGUUUCUAUAACAACUCCUUCCAAUAGAUUAUACCCAAAAUCUAGAGUUUCCAAACUUUCCAAUUGUCCAAAACAUAGAGGAAAAGUACCAUUUAAUUGAUUUUCUGAAAGAUCAAAGUAUUUCAAAGAUGAUAACUCCCCUAUCGAUGAUGGAAUGGGACCAGAAAUGUUGUUUUGAGCAAGGGACAAGUAAGAUAGAUUUUUAAAUUGUCCAAGUUGAUAAGUUAAAUGACCAGAAAGUUGGUUAUCUGCCAUAUUUAAUGACUCUAAGGAACCCAAACAACAUCUAGACAAACUCUGUAGGAUUUCUGAUAUGUCUUGCUGAAUUUUAUUACUAGAAAGAUGAAGAAAUCGAAGAUGGUUUAAACAAAACAAGGAGUUGGGUAUGGAUGAAUUGAGUGAGUUCUGAUGAAGAUCAAGAACUUCAAGAAACGAGAUGUUCCCAAAGUAAUCAGGAAUUCGUCCAUCCAAAGAAUUGAAUCUAAGAUCAAUGGACACAAGACCAUGAAGACUAGAUAUUGACUUAGGUACUGAAGAUAAGCUGUUCCAAGAAAGAUCAAGAACAGCCAGUGAUUUUGAAGAAUUAACACUGAUCAAAUGUGGAUCAUCUUCCAAAAUGCAAGCUGACAAGUGCAACUCUAGCAGAGAAGGAUGUUUAAAUGUUACCUGUAGCCAAUCAGUUGCUUUAGAGAGAUUCGCGUAGCUCAAAUCAAGGUACUGCAAGGAAGAAAGUCCAGAAACCCAUUGAAGACUUUCUGAUAUGAGAUCAUUACCUCGAAGAUCAAGAUACUGCAACUUUGAAAGAUUCCCCAGGUUAUGAGGAAUUGCUCCCUGAAAUUGUGCUCGAGAGAGGUUAAGAUAUGUUAAACUCUCCAGCAAACCGAAUAAUUUCGGGAUAUGUAUGCUGCUAAAAUUAUUAUUGCUCAAGUCCAGGGUACUGAGAUGGUUCAACUCCAGCAGUGAAGGAUUUAUUUUGCCUCCUAGGGCUGACUGCUCGUAAGGUGAAAGAGGAGCAGCCAAGUGCAGUUGGUGGACGUGGCCCGUUAAGUUAAGGCAGACGACACCAAUCCAUUUACAGCAAUCCCCUCCUUCAACCCAAGAAGAUAACCUGUUUGAAGGAUCAAUAAGAUGAUUCUUGAAUUUCAAAAGAGCUUCUCUCUCACUUGGAACGCAAAGUAGGUUGGAAUUGGCAUGACAAAUGGUAAAAAAGAUAGCGGGAACGAGAAGAAGAAAAGGGAAAAAGGAAAUUGGAAGAGCAGUAGUCAUGGUUGCAAUUGCCAUUGCUCACAACUCCAAAUAUAUACUAAGAUUAGCUAAAACACAAAAAUACAUGAAGCGCAAGGAAGUUUCUUCCAACAAAAUGCAUUUAAUUGAUAAUAGUCUGUCGGAAAUUUGCUAUCAAGGGAAAUUUCUAAUUAAUUGCAUUUAAUUGUCCAUAAAAUGUAAUAUGAAUUCUAUUAUUAAAUUAAAGAAAUGUAUGCUAUCAAGGAAGUUUUUUACAAUACCCUAAAAGUCUAUGAAGAAAGUCCCACUCCCACUUUCUUUAAGACUUUUUAGGUCUUAAAAGCUAAAGGAUUAAAAAAAAAAAUAGUUUCCAAGUUUCGUGUUGAUUAUUUGUUUAUAUCAAAUUAUAAAGUAUAAUUUUUGAAGAAGGUUAAAAUAUGCUUUUAAGUUACUAUACACUUUUAUAUAUUUAGACUUUAAUUUCGUAUUUUUAAUUUUAAGAAUUUAUUCCAUAUAUUUUAAUUUAAAAAUUUAGGUUCAAUAGUUAUUAACAUUAAAAUUAUUCUAUUAAAUAUUCACUUGGGAGUCCUAUAACAAUAAAAUUAAUAUUAAAAAUUCUAAUUAAUUUUUUUCAUAAAAACACUUACUCAAACUCAACUUAGUUUAUGGAAUAAAUCUCACUCCCAUGGUUUACUUGCUACUUAAAAAAAAUUGAUACAUCAAACUAGCUCUCGAAGCAUUUUUCAUUUAAGAAAAAUCUACGUUAAACUUGAUAACGCCACAAGGGAAGCGUGUCGUACAAUUCAAAGGUUAUCUGGUUGACACUUAUCCAUUACUUUCAUUUAUAUCCUUAACAAAAUAAUGGCAUAGGAUGUUUGUUCAAAGGGUUAGUAAUUAAGUUCGUCUCUAAAUUAUAGUUCACUUUUAGAAAUUUUUUGAAAAUAAUUCCAAAAAAUCUAUAAAUUCAUUAUUUAUUUGAUAAAAUUUUAAUAUUUUUAAAAAUAUAAUUAUAGAAAAAUUUAAAAUUAAAAAAAAAACUCAAAAAUUACCCAAUUCAACGAGCACCCUUUGGAAAAUUUACAUUAUGUUUUAUAUUAUAUUAGUAUCUUCAAACCAAUUAUAUGUUACAAAAUUAUAAUUAAAAAUAUUUUUUAUAAAAUUAAAAAGUGAGAAUAUUUUUAGUAUGAUUAUAGGUGUCUUUAUUCAUUUUAAAACUAGAGUGUAACAUCCCGAAAUAAGGCCUAGGAGUUUGAGCCAACAAAUCCUUAUUUUCUAUUAAGGGCUAAGAUCGAUUGGUUAACAAUUAGGGAUAGAUUUCUGAAAAGGGUAAAAGUAGGAGUACUUGAAUAGUUAUUUGUCCAAAGAGUUGAGGAAACAAUUUCCUUCCUUAAAUGAAAUAGAGUCAUGCAUGUAAGACUUCCUCUGUCAUGAGGAGACCCUUAGGUUCUAAACUACCCUAGUUACAUAUGAAUUAAACACUGCCAACAAAAGUUUUAAACCUAUAUGCAUACCAAAAUCCUACCAUUAGCCAAACCUCCAUUGAAUUGUUUCUCUAUGUUUUCUGUCAAGUUUCUGCAAAUAAAAAACCAAGCCCUUUUUUCUUAAAGGUUCAAGGUAAGACUCUGUUUCUCUAUUGGAUUAGACAUUUAUAAGUAAUUUUAGAACUUUUAAGAAAGCUUGCAACAAAAGAACUAGGUUCACCAAAUGAUUAGCAUGUGCGAACCUAAGCUUGCUUGUGUUUAUAAAUGAGUUUUAAUGUGCUUUGACUAUUAGUGACUUGUGAAUAUUUGUGAAGUUGCAAACUUGACAGAGCCGUCUACAAGCAAAGACAUGGGAAAGGCAAAGCUUGUUUAAAGCUUUCGACAAAUUGCUAAGUGUUCAGGGAUUCCCACUUGUAUGUGCGGACCAUAGUGUUAAUCAGGAGCUUAGGGUCUUAACCUAAGUUUUGAGAGUAAGUUUUCUUUAAAACUCUGUUUUAUUAUUGUGUUUGAAUAUGUGCUUUUAAGAAUAGUGAUGUGCGAGCUCUAUGCUGCAAGUUGGUUAUGAAUAGCAUUUUGUGAGCUCUUUAUGAAUUGUGAGCUCUAUGUUUAAGUAAAUGUUUUGAUAUUAUAGUUUUUGUAACCGUUUGAUAUAAUGGCAUGUCAUAGAAUUGUGAGUACUCACCUCUGUGUUUUUUGAUUUGGGGGAGAGGCCUUGGGACAGGUUAGGAGAAAUAAAGGAAUGACAAGCUAAGCUCCAUUCGUUGAGAUAUACUGGUGUGAUGGAAAGUGUUAGCUUAACACUACAUUUAUCAGAUAUGUCAAAAUCUUUUAGUCAAAGAGGGGAGUCAUAAAGAGAUUCACUUAUCCAAUAGAAAAAAAUAAGUGAAUGAGAUAGUAUUGUUUUUCAAAAUAUUAUGUUUUACUAACUUAUACUAAGUGACAGAGUGUAUCUGCGAACCAAACUUCGUGUAAGUACGGAGAACCCAGUUCAUAGAGCAGAAACCUUGAUAAAACUCUUGUUUAACUUAUGUUUUUGUGCGUGCUUUGUGGUUUUUCUGUUCAUUGACUAAGUUGUCCCAGUACGACCUGAACUGAACUGGCAGCAACUGAACCUACUUGGGGUGUCGGUGGCAAUGGUUCUUCGAUGGUUGAGUAAUGAAAGAAUUAUACUCCUACUAGGACUCUACCAGAGAAUUUAAUUUUAGAUUAACUAUUCCAGGAAUAAUAUUAUUUUAAUAUAUUUAAUAUUAAAUUAAAUUUAAUACUUAUUUUAAUAGUAUUUUAUUAAUUUAUUAUUAAAAUAAUUAUCUAAUAUUAAAUUAAAUUUAAUGUUUAUCUUGUAGAUAAAUAUUCUAUUAACUUAAUAAGAUCUAAUAUUAAGGUGAUUAAGUUUAAUCAUAGUUGAACUCUCUAAACUUUUUCUAUAUAAAGAGAGCAUUAGGUUAUCAUUUUUUACACACUUAAAUUUAAGAGAAAUUUGUAGAGAGAAAUUUUCUGAAGAAAUUAUUUUAGAAAAUUUCUAGAAAUAUUUUUCUUAUUUACAACACGGUCCAAAAGUUUUCUAAUUCAAAGUAAUGUUUGUGAAAAGUUUUCUAAUUCAAAGUGAGCCCACACUCGAUAGACGUGAGCUUGAGGAUAACGGAGAAGACUACUCAAUUAAAGUGUUCAUCCUAGACGAAUAAAAAAAGGUACAAUUUGAUUAAGUAUUUAUUAGUUUAGAUAUAACAACCAAGUUCUUGUUUUAGAAAAAAAUUAAAAAACUCUGGUUUUAUCCUAAAUUUAUUUUCUGCUACGUUUUUCAAACCCGGUUUUCCAACAUUGUAGGUGUCCCUUAAUGGUCCAAGGACAUGUCUUUUUCACCAAUCUGAUGGAACUACCCUUUUAUGGUUUCAGCGUAAUCCUUGGAAUGGACUGGUUAAUUGAUCAUAAAUCCAAGAUAGACUUUGAAUCGAAACGAGUCACUUUACGGUAAGGUGAUGGGAUGAAAAUUACUGUGGUUGGAGAGUGAGCCCAAGUUUUUUCUAACAUGGUCUCGACAAUUAGAACUGAGAAGAUGAUGGGAAAAUGUUGUAAAGCCUACUUAGUGUACGUACUAAAUUCAAACUGUAAGAAACUAAGUGUACAUGAUAUUCACACUGUUGUCGAUUUUCUUGAUAUGUUUCCUGAUGAGCUACCUAUUAUACCACCAGAUCGCGAAGUAGAAUUCAACAUUGAGCUUCAUCUUAGAAUUGUGCUAGUGUCAAUUGCGACAUAUCACAUGGAACCAAAAGAUCUUAAGGAGUUGAAGCUCCAAUUACAAGAGCUGCUUGACAGAGGCUUCAUUUGACCUAAUGUUUCUCCUUAGGGCUCGCCAAUCCUAUUUGUAAAAAAGAAAGAUGGUUCACUAAGUCUAUUUAUAGACUACAGAUAGCUUAACAAAAUAACCAUAAAAAACAAGUACCCACUGCCUCGAAUCGACGAUCUGUUGACCAACUUCGAAAAGCUACAAUGUUCUCAAAAAUUGAUUUAAGAUCAGGAUACUACCAACUUAAAGUGAAGGAGUUCGGCAUUGAAAAGACAAUGUGUAGGAUUCGAUAUAGGCAUUAUGAGUUCUUGGUUAUGCCCUUUGAUCUCACAAAUGCACCAGUGGCAUUCAUGGACUUGAUGGUUCCAUGAAUUUUUGGAUCAAUUCAUAGUGAUUUUCAUAGAUGAACUUCUAUAGUACUCACAAACCAAAGGAGAGCAUGACAUCCAUCUGCAAGCUGUGUUGUAAGUACUACGGGAAAAACAACUAUAUGAUAAGCUGAGUAAGUGUGAGUUUUGGUUAUGCAAAGUAUCGUUCUUAGGACAUGUGUUCUUAGUAAAAGGAAUUCAUGUAGACCCAAGGAAGAUCGACACAAUUGUAGAGUGGAAGACACCAAAGAGCAUUAUUGAGGUUUGAAGUUUCUUAAGAUUAACUGGAUACUAUCGAUGGCUUGUUGAAGAGUGUGUCGUCCCCUAUACUUUGAUUUUAGUCUUGGUGGUAGGUGCGGUAAGCAUCUCUACCAUCUCACUACUUUCCAGAUUAGGCAUAUUGCCCAAAGAAUAAGGCUCAGCUCGAAACCCUCUACGAUGUCCACCAUGCCCUCGUGUACCAUGACCUCACAUACCACGUGUGCUCAUUUAACUUAUCUAAAGUUCAAAAAUCUUAAAUUUAGCUUAGAUUAUUUUUAAAUCCCAAGUCUAAAGUUUAGUAGAAGCACUUAUCUUAAAGCAAAAAUUAUUUUAUUCUAUAGUCUUUAAAGGUUAGCAAUUUUACUAAAGUAACUAUAGUAAGAGUAAUUAUAGUAAAAAAUUUCUUACUUGGAUUGGCAUUGGAGUCUCAAAUUCUUUUUACGAACUCAAACAUCAAAAUUAAUCCAAAUUUAAAUUUAUUAUUGUUAAAAAUAAUUUUCAUAAAAUAUUACCCAAAAAUAACAGCCUGAGUUUAGAACUUGGCUCUAAUACCACCAAGUAUAACACCCCAAACCCGUCAUAGUCAUUAUGGCGAAAUCUUGAAGGUUACAUUAAUGAGUUGAAACUUGGCCAUUUAUUUUUAAAAUGUAUCUUUUUCCAAACCCGAAAAUAAGAGAUUUUAUAGAAACUUGCCUCAACUCUUUGGUAAGAGAAUUUGCCAAUCAUAAAAAUGUAUAUGUACAAAUUUGAAACAUUUGCUUAAAAAAAUUGAUUUUUAUAAAUUCAUGAUGCUAUCGACUUUAUUUACUUACUUUGAAAAACGCAUAAUCCCGAUUAAAAAUUUGUAGCAGAAAAUUUCUUAUAAUUGUUUAACCUUGAAAAUUGAUUGUUUAAGUUAAAUUAUUAGAAAUUGUGCCAAUUUUAGAAUAACUAAUUAAAAUACUCAACAAAUCCCAAAAACAAAAGUUAAAGUCAGAAAAAUAGUCCAAUAGUCCAUAUGUCCAUAAAAUCUAAAUUUUUUUUUUGAAAGAGUUUAACAUAGAAAAAGUGAAUUGAGCUCCCAAGCAUUGCCAAAUCCUAAGUUUGAGGAUUACCUGAAAUAUAUUUAUCAAACAAUGUGAGAUAUAAAGGUUAGUGUGUGCCUUGGCCCACAAGCUAAAAUCACAAACAGAAUCAUACUUAGAUGCAAAUACAAAAGUAGACAUAUAAAAAAUUCUACAUGCAUAGCAUGACAUAAUCAAAUAGAAUAAUCCUACCUCCAUCAGCUACACACUAACUCCGUCCAACUAAUCACACCAAAUAAGGCUACAAGAACUCAUCCAUCCAUCACAUUAUAAUAUGGUUCUAUGUCACUUAGAUAAUAUGUAGCUAUGUUGCCAGAAUAUAUAUUGUGGGUAUAAUGCCAGAAUCAUGUAAUGCAGUAAAUUUGCCAAAAUCACACUUCAUCACAUCCAUAUAUCCCACCCCAAAUGCACAUGCAAAGUCAUACUAAAAGAUCAUGCAUAAGUAUCAUAACAUGCCAUGCCUACUUAUAAAUAGUCAGAUACAUGUUUUUCAUACAUACGAGAUAAUACGACAUAUCAUACAGGAAAUCUUACUCAGAGUUUAACACCUUUAUUGAGUGAAUGUAAAUUAGAUUUAGAAAACUCACACUCGGCCUGCACAAUGCCCAAUAAAUUGCACAAACUGGGCUCACACGCCAUGUGGCCCACACACCCUACCAUACAAUCUAGCACACAACCAAUUAGAUGCCCGUGUGACCCAUACAACUUGUCAUAUGGCCAAACAGACGACCAUGCGGUGAUAUCUACCAGUUUCAAUUUUUCACAAAAUUUCCAUAUUAUUGACCUUUCAUAGUAUCUACAAGUUUAGAACACACUUGAUUACUGUUGGAAUGUAGGCACCAUACCAACAAUAAUUUUUGCACACAACAUUCACAACUAGACCCAAUUCGCAACCAAUAUUGAAACUGAUGGGUGUCGAAUCCACCAAUAUAAACCUACGCCUUAAAUUGCAAAUUAUGCAGUAUAGGGAGUAGGGUUGAUCCCUCAAAGACUGGUUUACUGUAAAUUGUUGCUCUCUUGACCAGAUUUAUGUUGGGGCAAUUGUCGUGCCCAAGAAAUUCGGGGGGAUAAAAUUUUAAGUCCUGAAAAUAAAUAAAUAAAAUGCGUGAAAAGAAAAAGUUGAAAACAUAAUAAUAAAAACAGUGAAAUAAAUAUUAAGAAAAAUUAAUUAGAAUAAGCUCAACUUUAGGCACGAAUUUUCCUCGUCUUUGAACCGAUCCUCGAAAUUGGAUGAACUCCUCUUUUCCAAUAAGCUAGUUAUAGCUACCAAGGACGCCUCGGAUACCAACUCUUCCUUGUGUAAAUUAGUUAAGGAACGUCCAAUAACUAACCCUUACCAAUCGAACAACCACGAAACGUUCGUGAUUUAGAACUCCGGCAGCUUUGCGUUCUAGAAGAGCCUAGCUCGAACCAAUGCCCUCAACCGCGUGGGACAUUUACAUCCGGUUACUACUUCCCUUGACGGAACCAAAUAGCAAUCUCCACUUGGCACGCCAAUGUGUUCACAGAAAACUAAUUAGAAACGUUCCUUUCGGAAUUCCAACUGUACGUCUAAUCACACUAAAUCAAACGUCUUUUUUGACUUAGUGUUGACCUGACUUCGUGAGCUGACAAAAUCAUACUCUUAAUCCGGAGAAGUAAUAAGUAUUGGAAUUUUAGGAGUUAAAUGACUCAAGUUCGUAACUCACGGGUUUUGACGAGGCUAAUUUUGGCCUAAAACUGAAAAUGGGUUUAGUUGGCUAAGGUUUGGGGCAUGUUGGUUUUGGAAUAAUUAAAUAAGAUUGAAUAAAUGAAAAAAAAAUGAAAGUGACUGGUGAAAGUGACGCAAUGUUGGAAAUUAAUUGCUGGCAAAAACAAAGAAAGAAAAGAUUGAAUUGCAAGAAAUAAAAGCUUAAUUUAAAAACGAAAUGAUUAAAAACUUGAUGGAAAAUUUUAUGAAAAGACUUGAUGAAAAACUUAAAAAGAACUUGCUACAAAACUUGAUAGAAAACUUGAUAAAAGAACUAAAUGAAAAAUAUUUGAAGAAAGAAAUAACACUUAAUGAAAGACUUAAUUGAAAGCUUGAUUCAUGAAUUGAUGAAUUGAUGAACAAUGUAGCCUCUAUUUAUACUAGUGGCUUUACUAAAUUAAGAGCCAACUAGUAUAGAAAAUCAAGGAAAAUAUUCUAUAAUAUAAAAAAUAUCCCAAAAUAAUCUCCCACUAAGUCAACAAUUUCAGCUAAUUAUUCUUGGAAAAAUUCUGCUUUGGCCCUCCUUCUUUGCUUCUUUCUUCAAUCUAGGCCAAUUGUUUCCUUUUUCUUCUAUUUAGCCCCAAAUUGCAUUCCUGCACAAAAUUCAAUAAAUAUGGCAAAAUUAAUGGUGCAUUCUCAUAAAUUAACUAAAUUAAUUACAUAAAAUAUGUAACUUUAGCAUUUAAUCAGAAACCAAAACUUGAAUUCCAUAUUUAACACUUAAUAAAACCAACCUCAAAACUAACAUUUGGUCACUUACCCAGAAGAGGAUUGAUUCCACUACAAUCAAAUAGAAGAAUGAGUAACCAUUGUAGGAUCCACCGCUAAAAUAAACCCCCAAAAAUAAAGAUCAAUAACGAAGAUUAAAGAAUGACUAAAACCCCUAUCUGUCACAUGGAACCAAAUUAAUUCACCUUAUGAAGAUUAAAGAUUAAAGAAUGCACUUACAAGACUUACACGAAAACGAAAAUAUGAAUUCCUCGCUCAAAACACAACACCACAACCAUAAAAUGCCAGAAAAUGAUAACAGAGAAACAAAAAUAGAGGAACAAAGAUUGAGUUUGCAAUUACAAAAACCAAACAAAAGAGAAAGGGAAAAGAAUAGAUGAAAAAUGAUAGAGAAAAUUUGCAGAAACAAAAAUGACCAAAACAGAAAAUGGGGAGAGGGUGGAAAGAGAGGGACGACAGAAUAAAGAGAGAUUUUAGGGAUAUUUUUUAUAAUUAAAAAAAUAAAUCAGAUAAAAAUACUAUCUAAUCUAAUUAGUAACCACCUAUCAGAUUACUCAACAGUUAAAUUUGACAGAAACUCUGACAAGUAUGGGCGGCAGCAACCGAUAUACAGCAAAAAUUAAUUUCUUUUACACACAACAGAGUUUAAACUUGGGAACUAAGGGUAAACUAAAGCCUUAUUAUUGAACCAGCAGACUCAUUAUUACCAGCAAACUAGCAAGACUAAAAUAUAAACUACAAGUGAUGAGCCAAAUGAAGAAAUAAAAAUAAUACAAAAUUUGUAAGGAAAGGGAUUCGAAUAUAAAGUCUCAGGCACAUAAACAAAACCAUUAACACAAUAAACUAAAUAAAUUUACUUGUCAUAAUUAAGCGAUUUAAAUCUAAAAAAUUUGGUGCGUUACAAUUUCCUUCAAAAAGGAAGAUUCAAGCCUGCAGGCACACAGAAAACAUCAGCAACGCAAGCUUCCUUAAAAAUACAUGAUAAUUUAGUUUUUAGGGCACACCGUCGAAUAAAGAGUCCAAUACUCAACACCCAACGUCAGCUUUCAAAACGGAUACAUUUAUUCAAGCUGCCAUCUUUAUUUAACUCAAUAAUAUUACGCCAAACCGUGGACAUUUUAUGAGUAUGAUGCAAGGAAGGCAGCCAUGAAAGUUUACCCAAUCCAUAUUUCACUACCAAUAGUUUUCUCCAAAGAGAAUUAUGCUCUGUACUAUAUCUCCACCACCAUUCGGGUAGUAGAGAGCAGAAUUUUUAUCUAUGAGUUUCCCAAUGCCUAAAGCACCACAUCUUUUAGAUUUAACAAUCAACGCCCAUUUCUCAUACAAAAAAGGAAAACCAUCUCCCAUUAAUACAAAUGACAUGUCAUCAUUGUUUCAUACAAUCCUUUACCAUUAAUACAAGUGAUUUAAUUUAAUUAAUAAUAAAAAUUAAAUAACCUAAUUUGAUUAAAUUAAAUAUUGAUGAUGGAUAUGAAAAUUAAUGUAAGUUUAAUGAUUUAAAUUGUAAAUAACUCAUUGGAUAAAUUUACAUUGAGAGUCAAAGCAUAAUUAGACUAUUAGAGAUGAUUAAUUGUCUUCAUUCAUUUUGUUUGAAACUUCUAGUUAAUCUUACAAAUUUCCAUGCCUUCAAUCCAUUUUUUGACAUUAUCUAAUGAAAUAAUAUUUUGUUUGAAAUUAAGCAUUACUCCAAUAGUAGAUUUGACCACCAUUAACCUGUUCAAACCAUUUUAUAUUACUACUAUGAACUUUGUGGCCAAUGGUUGCUUCAUUGCUGAUGUUUUGAAUAGUUAUGGAAUACCCAAAACAUUUUGUAUGUAUCCUAUUGUUCAUUCCUUUUUCAAUUUAUUCAAAACUUCGUUUUUUUGUAUAAUACAGCGAUAAGAAGCUUUGUUAAUGACAUAUUAUGUUUAGUUUGCUUUGCCUAUAUAUGGAUUGAAUUAAUUUAGGCUGAUCACUCGCUAAACCUUCCAAUUAUGUCCAUAUUAUUAUGCUAAGUAUUGUUAUGAUACUUGCUAUCAUUGGUCCAAAAUCUAAAGGGGCUUGGGUCGGAUUCUAUUGAGCUCACACGUUGAGCUUGCAGACCAAGCUCGUAGGAUAAUGGAUGUUCACAGGAUAGGUACUUACAUUCUCCUGCGAAAUCAUACGUGAGAUCGUGUAUGAGACCACAUAAAUAUGUGUUAAGUCGAGAGUAGGAUACUUGUUGAUAUGUAUGGAACCUACCUAAAAUGUUAUAUCAAUGAACAGUACAAAUAUCAUAUAAAUACACAAACACCGCUAUCUAAGAGAGAUAGAGAAAACACUCAACAGAAUUUAGGUUUUAACUGGCUCUAAUCAUCACGUGCUUCUCUUUGACAGGUCUUUUCAAUUUCUAUUGAAUAAGUUUAGCUUUCACUUGAAGCUUUCCUUCAAUGAAUAUCUGCUUUUCUUCAUCUUUGAGUUUUGUUUUCCUUCAAUACCGAUUACUGAAUUAUGAGUUUUGUUAAUAGAUUUGGAAAGAAAACUCAUUGAGAUCUUUUUUCUUAUAGUUAUAAAUUAGGAAUUUGGUGGCAAAGUAGAGUUGGAAUGGCAAAGAGUAAUAGGGCUGGGCUAUCUACAGACUUGUUGACGAAGAUUUGUCAUGGUUGCAAUCGCCAUUGGUCACAACUCCAAAUAUAUAGUGUAAGCUUAGCUAAAACACAAAUAUAUUGAGCACAUACAUCAAGCGCAAUGAAGUUUCUUACAACAAAAUGCAUCGGAAAUUUGCUAUCAAGAGAAAUUUCUAAUUAAUUGCUUUUAAUUUUCCACAAAAUGUAAUAUGAAUUUCGAUUAUUAAAUUAAAGAAAUGUUAAAAAGUUCAGUCAAACAAAAUGGGUGCCGUGGACCCUUAAUUAUUUCUUCACGCAUAAAACAAUAUUAAAUAAAUUAUAAAAAAUCUAAAAUUAUAAUAACUAAAGUAAAUUAUACAACAUCUACCCAUUAAUAGGCUUAAAAAAUAUGAAAGAUUGAUCACUGUAACACUCCGAAUUUCUUAGAUAUGGAAUGUUAAAUUAUAACAAAUAAUUUAAUUCUGUUUAGUGGAUAAGUGUAGUGAUUAAGUGGGUGAGGUUUUGGGUUUGAGUUUUUUCUUUAGAAUUUUGUUAAUUUUUGGUUCUAUUUCUAUCACUAAUUAUUUGAUUUAAAUCUUAUUUCUAGAUAAAUUAUUAUAGAAUAAAUCUAUUGGUUCAAUGGUUAAGUUUUAACGUAUUCUUGAGUUUAGAGUUUAAAUCUUGGUGUGGGCAUAUGAAAUGUUUUUGUUGCUUGUUAUUUGUCAAUAGUUGAGUUCUUUUUUAAUCACAUUGGAUUAUUAUAUAAUUUUUUUUAAGUUAUCAAAAUAAAACAUAUCCCUAAAUUUACUCUAAUUUGCACGUCCAAUUACCCUUCCCUUCUCACGUUCGUUUCUUUUUCUUUUUCUUGUAUUUUCUUCUUUUGUUUUUGUAGCCUCUUUUCCAUUAUUCUUUUCUGCCGUACUUGCUUACUUUCUGCUAUUCCAUUUUACCCCUUGUAUUCGUGCACGGUGAACGUGGAGUAAGUUUCAUUUAAUAAUUUCUGUUCUUUUCCUUUGAAAUUGUUUCUUGAACAAGAUAGGAGUUGUGCUUAUACCUAAUCUUCUUUCUUAGUUUUGAUAAGCGCUCUUGUGUUUUCGAUUAGGCGAAGGGAGUGAGAAUCUUAUUCCUCCAGCAGAAUAGUUCUCGUCUUUGGUGUUGUUUUUGAGCGGUGAGUAUACGAAUCUCGUUUUAGGGACUGAAUUUUGACCAAAGAAUGUCAAUUUGGGUGGGUCUUUGAUGAUUAAUUAGUAUGAUUUGUUAAUUGAUUGUAGGUUUUAAUCAAUUAUCUCAUCAGGUGUGUAAUUAACCCCAAACAUCAUUUAAAACUCAGAGAAAAUUAUAAAAUAGGGGAUGUUUUCGAAACUGCCCAGCGUCACACGGCCGUGUGGAGCACAUGCUCUGUGAAAUAACAUGGACAUGUGGUAGGUCAUGUGGACCAAACAGACUAGCUUUUUUGGGCUGUGUGGGAGCUUGUUGGGCCAAUUUUGAGGCCCGAUUAGGGCAGUUUAGGGGACUCAAAAAUUGAGUCUAUGGGCAUUAUGUAGGCCCGAAAAAACAUAAGUUUCAAUAUGCAAACAUAGGUUUGUGUAGAAAGCAUGUUAAGUAAGUCUCCAUAAGUGUAUUAAUGUGAUAUGAUAUGCUUUAUAAAUAUGUACAUUAGAUAUGCAAGCUAUAUGAUUUGUGAGUACCACAUGCUGUGUUAUGUUCCGUAUGAAAAUAUGUGUAUAUGCAUGCCAUACGAUUUAUGUUAUAUGUAUGUAUGAUAUUAUGCCUAUGUUUUGGGGUGGGAUUUGAUAUAAUGAAGGAAGUUUUAUAUGGCAGUAUUUACUGCAACUAUGGUGGCUAGAAUGCAAAUUUCUGUCUAGUAGCUCAGCGGCAUAUUAUGAGUGACAUACCUCCACAUAUUGGUGUGAUGGGAUCGAUGGAUGUACUCUUGCAGUUCUAAUUGGUGUGUUUGGUUAGAUAGAGAUGGUGUGUAGCCAAUAGGGGUAGGAUAUGUUUUGUUAUAUGAUAUGCUUUGAUAUAAAAUCUGGUAUGCUAUGAUAUGUAAUAAGCUAUGCAUCUAUUUGAUUUUGACAUAUACUAUGAUUUGUGGGCCAAAUUACACGCUGGGUGUAAAGCUCACAUGUUUGUUUUGUUUUAGGUAAUCCUUAGGCUUAGGAUUGAAUGGCGACUCUAGAGCUUGGUUUUCACGUUUGGGUUUAGUAUGUUAUGGACUUUCAAUUUUAUGGACUUUUUAUUCGGACUUUUGGACAUUUAAUUUUUUUCUAGGACGUUUAGAAUUUAUUUUGGUAGUUGUUUUGUUAAAGCUUGGUUUUUAAUCGGAGUUAAAAACAAGACGACUAACAACAAACUAAAGGUAAAUAAGACAAAAUUUCUAUAAUGUGUCGCAGCCAAAUAUUGUCAAAAAUUGCUAGAAUGUUUUAUAUCGCAAACGAUUUAAGUAAAAUAGGUUUGUUUUUAGUAAAACUAUUAAACAUGCUUUUUCCUCGAAGCACUCAUGGGUUUUUGAGAAUUGAUACAUUUUCAAAGAGUUAUUCAAAUCGAUUUUCUUUACGUUGAAAGUGGGGUUUCAUCAAAAUUAAGAAUUAAUGUUUUCAUGUACGAUGUAAUCUCCACAUCCCGACAGUAACGUCUAAGUCGAGUUUGGAGUGUUAUACUGAGCUUGCUCGAGUAGAUACCUUGGGAAAUUAAAAUAAAUUUAAGAAAAUUAUAAUUAAAUUAUAAAAAAAUUUGUUGAAAUGUCAUUAAAUAAUUGAAAAUAAUUGAAAAGGGAUAAUGGAUGAUAUGGUGGGAAAUGUCUACAAAAUAAUUUCUCCGACAAAACAUAUUCAUACAUUAUCAUAACACAAUUUGAUCCACUCUUCGGUAAAUUAUACCAACAUAAAAUGUCAUUGCACAAGGGAAAACAAGAAUAAAUAAAGAAUAAUAAAUCUAAACUCAGAGUUUAGUUCAAUUGAUUCAUGUAAUCCUUUUUAAAAUGUUACAUUUAAUAGAUUUGAGAACGGAAUCCUAUAUAAUCAAUACAAACACACAAACCUUAAUUAUACAUGUUUUUUUUCCAUCAAACUACAUACCCAUAGUAGCCCAAUACACAUACAGCUUUCGACCUGGUCCAACUUUCGAUAGUAUGCAUGCCUCCAAGACCUGUUGAAAAACAAGGGAGCCACUACACCCCAAAAUCCUAUUACAAAGCCAAGAACUAUGCUACAUAAAGCCAAUUCACUUUACUUCCUUCACUGCUACUUCCAUUAUUUGCAACAUCAGUUGGAAUACCUUUUGUGUUGCAACUUUUAGUGAGAGGAGGUCCGCAAAGAUGAUUGCCCAUGUAAGAAAAGUUUUCAAAGCUUUGAAGCUGAGUGCUUAUUGGAAUUUGUCCUGUCAAGUUGUUGUAAGACACAUUGAAGUGAUUCAAGAAAUUCAAAUUGGAGAUGCUUGGAGGGAUUUCACCAUUCAAUCGAUUCACGGACAAAUCAAGAGAUUCCAUCAGCUCCAUGUUGCCAAUUUCGUUUGGUAUAUUUCCUGCUAGGAGAUUCGUUGAUAGAUUUAAUGACCGUAGCUCAAUGAGACUUCCAAUUUCAUUUGGAAUCUCUCCCGUGAGACUAUUAGUUGAAAGGUCCAUACUGGUAACAAGCCCUAGUGUGGCACUGUAUUCAUCCUCUUGUCCUUUCAGCACUAAUAAUGCACUCAAAUAAAAGAGAGUAGUUCUGGUACUUACCCACUCAUAAAUAUAGUUACUUUGGUUGCUUCUGUUGGCCAUUGCAGUCAAAUUACUAAAACAUUUUGGAAUAGUGCCUGAAAUGUUGUCAUGGGCAAGGUCCAAAUUCUGAAGAUAUUGAAGAUCACAAAUUUUAUGAGGAAUAUGGCCAUCAAAAUUAUUUGAUCGAAAGCUUAGAACCUUAAGUCUUGAGUGCUUGUCUCUAAUCCAUUCUGGUACACUUCCAUUGAAAUGAUUUUCACUAAAAUCAAGCAUAAUCAAACUGGAAUUUUGCAAUGUGGAUGGCAAUGCUCCAAACAUGCUAUUAUUCCGAAGGUUUAGCAUUGAAAGAUUUAUAUGCCCUAAAGAAGGUGGGAUUUUACCGGUCAAACUGUUGCUUCCCAAAUUUAAAUGCCCUAAAUUCUGCCAAUGAUUCUAACAAUCUGGAAUUUCUCCUGAGAUGAGAUUUUUAUCAAUGUAAAGAACUUCCAUCCCUCCCCUACUUGGUGAAUUACAAACUAAUUAAAAAAGAGAUCCUGCAAAUGAAUUAUUUGACAAAAUUAAAAAUUUUAAAGUUGGGAAUACUACUCUUGGCAAUUGGCCUGUGAAUCGGUUUGAACUCAAGUAAACAAUGUAUGUCACAUUCAAAUAUGAAAUCCCUCCACUAAGUUGAUUAUAGGAAAGAUUUAAAUAUUUAAAUGGAAUGGGAAGGUUCAAAAACCAAGUGGGCAUGACAUUAGAAAUUCCUGCAUCAGAGAUAUCUAACACAGACAACUUCUUUUGGAACUUUAACCAUUGGGGAAAUUUUUGGCCAAGAUGCCAAUGACCCAAUUCAAUAAUUCCACAUUGAAAUGGGAGAAUCCAGCUUGAGUUCGGUUCAAAUAUUGUGUGAUGCCUUCAGAGUUGUCAAUCUGGUGAGAUUAGAAAAAUGGGUUUCUAAUACAACUCCUUCCAAUAGAUUAUACCCAAAAUCUAGAGUUUCCAAACUUUCAAGUUGUCCAAAACAUAAAGGAAAAAUACCAUUUAAUUGAUUUUCUGAAACAUCAAAGAACUUCAAAGAUGAUAACUCCCCUAUGGACAAUUGAAUGGGACCAAAAAUUUUGUUUCGAGCAAGGGACAGGUAAGCUAGAUUUCUAAAUUGGCCAAGUUGAUCAGUUAAAUGACCAGAAAGUUCGUUAUCUGCCAUAUCCAAUGACUCUAAGGAACCCAAACAACAUCUAGACAAACUCUGUAGGAUUUCUGAUAUUCCAUCUUCAAUUUUUUAAUAUGACAAAUCCAUCUCCUUCAAUUUGCACAGAUAUUCCAGAGAGGUUGAUAAUCUUCCCUUCAACAUAAAAUUUGAACAAAGAUCAAGGUGAGUAAUAGAGCUCAAGUUUCCAAUGGUUCUCGAGAUUGUUCCUUGUAACUGGUUUUCACCACGACUCAGGAACUGAAGACGGUUUAAACUAUACAAGGAAUUGGGUAUGGAUGAAUUGAGAUGAUUCAAAGUAAGAUCAAGAACUUCAAGAAACGAGAUGUUCCCAAAGUAAUAUGGAAUUGGACCUUCCAAAGAAUUCUCACUAAGAUCAAAGGACAUAAGACUAUGAAGACUAAAUAUCGACUUCGGUACUGAAGAAAAGCCGUUCCCAGAAAGAUCAAGAAUAACCAGUGAUUUUGUAGAAUUAACACUAAUCGGAGAUGGAUCAUCUUCUAAACAACAAUUUGACAAGCGCAACUUUAACAAAGAAGGAUGUUUGAAUGUUACCUGUAGCCAAUCAUUUGCUUUAGAAAGAUCCGCACCACUCAAAUCAAGGUACUGCAAGGAAGAAAGUCCAGAAACCCAUUGAAAACUUUUUGGUUUGAGAUAAUUACCUCCAAGAUCAAGAUAAUGCAACUUUGAGAGAUUCCCAAGGUUAUGUGGAAUUCCUUCCGGGAAUCCAGCUUGAGAGGUUAAGAUGAGUUAAACUCCCCAGCAUACCAAAAAAUUUCAGGAUAUAUAUGCUGCUAAAAUUGUUAUAGCUCAAGUCCAGGGAACUGAGAUGCUUCAACUCCAGCAGUGAAGGAUUUAUUUUGCCUCCUAGUUUUGACCGCUCGUAAGCUUCCCAUUCAAAACAUGGUGCAAAUUCAUCAGGCUCUGAAAGAGUAGGAGCCAAGUUCAGUUGGUGGACUUGGCCUGUUGAGUUAUGGCAGACGACACCAAUCCAUUCACAGCAAUCCCCACCUUCAACCCAUGAAGAUAGCCUGUUUGAAGGAUCAAUAAGAUGAUUCUUGAAUUUCAAAAGACCUUCUCUCUCACUUUGAAUGCAACGUGCGUUGGAAUUGGCAUCACAAAUGGUAAAACAGAUAGCGGCAUUGAGAAGAAGAAAAGGGAAUAAGGAAAUUGGAAGAGGAGCUGUCAUGGUUGCAAUUGCCAUUGCUCACAACUCCAAAUAUAUUGAGUAAGCUUAGCAAAAACACAAAAUAAUACAUGAAGCGCAAGAAAGUUUCUUCAAACAAAAUGCAUCGGAAAUUUGCCAUCAAGGAAAUCUCUAAUUGAUUGCAUUUAAUUUUCCACAAAAUGUAAUAUGAAUUUCGAUUAUUAAAUUAAAGAAAUGUUAUAAAGUUCAGUUAAACAAAAUGGAUGCCGUGGUCCCUUAAUUAUAUCUUCAUGCAUAAAACAAUAUUAAAUAAAUUAAGAAACUAAAAAAAAUUAAAGAAACUUAUAAGAAAAUUUUAUCUAAAAAAAAUUAAAGAAAAUUAUAAGAAAAUUUUAUCUAUUUUUAUUUUUAAAUUUUAAAGAGCUUACUUUUUUUAUAUAUUUUUUUGAAAAUCUUUAAAAUUUUAAAUUUCUAAAUUUUAUAUAUUUUUUUAAUUUUUUAAAAUAUUUUAGAUUUUUUAAAUUUUUAAAAAGUGGCAUAUAAAAUAAAAUAAUGUUAAUGUAAACAAAAAUAUUGUCCACGUACAUUAGGGGCAAGGGAUGUUAUCAAAAUUUUCCACAAAAUGUAAUAUGAAACUCGAUUAUUAAAUUUCAGUCAAACAAAAUGGAUAUGAUGAAGGAAGACAUGGAAUUUGAAUAACAUUAUUUUUCUCUAUGUUUGGGUAUCAUUAAGCCAAAAUUUGAAAACGAUUAUUGAAAAUAAUGAUUUUUUUCUUGCCCUCAAACAUUUACUGAAAAUAAAUCAAUUUAUCUUUUACUCUCCUUUAUUUAACUCUUAAAUUUGUUUUUAAAGACAACCAUAAAACUUAUAUAUAUAUAUAUAUUAGCAUAGUUUUCAAAUUUCGUGUUAAGUUUUAUUUGCUUGUAUCAAAUUAUAAAGUAAAAUUUUGAAGGUUAAAAUAUGCUCUAUGUGCUUUAAAUUUGGAUGGUAGUUUUGUACUUUUAUUUUUAAAAAUUUAAUCCAUUUUUAAAUUUAAAAUCUCAAGUCCAAUAAUUAUUGCCAUUAAAUUAUUCUAUUAAAUUUAAUGGUGUGACGUUUAAAUUUUAAAAAAAUACAUCCACUUAAUAGUUCUAUAACAAUAAUAUUGAAAAUUCUAAUUAAUAUUUUUUUUUCUUAAAAAACACUAGUUUGAACUCUACUAAGUCUAUGGAAUAAAUCCCACUCCUGCUGUUUACUUGCUAUUUAAAAGAAAUUGAUACAUCAAAAUAGCUUUCAAAGCAUUUUCAUUUAGGAAAAUUCGACGUUAAACUUGAUAACGCCACAAGGAGGAGUUAUCAAAUCUAGCAGUUAACCAAAUUUAUGGACAUUUAAUCGAUCAACUUGGCAAUUUAAAAAUCUAGCUUACUUCCCCUUGCUCAAAACAAAGUUUAUGGUCCCAUUCCGUUGUCGAUAGGGGAGUUAUCAUCUUUGAAGUUCUUUGUUGUUUCAGAAAAUCAAUUGAAUUGUACUUUUCCUCUAUGAUUGGGACAACUGGCAAACUUAGAAACUCUAAAAUUUGGGCAUAAUCUAUUGGAAGGAGUUGUAUUAGAAACCCACUUUUUUAAUUUCACGAGAUUGAUAACUUUGAAAGCAUCAAAGAACAUGUUGAGAUUUGAACCAAACUCAAGUUGGAUUCCCCCAUUUCAAUGUGGAAGUGUUGAAUUGGGUGAUUGGUAUCUUGGCCUAAAGUUUCCCCAAUGGUUAAAGUUGUAUCAUUUAGAUAUCUCCUAUGCAGGAAUUUCAGAUGUCAAGCCCACUUGGUUUUUGAACCUUUCCACUCAAUUUGAAUAUGCAAAUCUUUCCUCUAAUCAACUUAGAGGAGAGAUUUCAUAUUUGAUGUGAAAAUAUUGUUGACUUGAGUUCAAACCAAUUCACAGGUCUACUGCCGAGAGUAUUCCCGACAUUAGAUUUUUUAGUUUUGUCAAAUAACUCAUUUUCAGGAUCCCUUUCUGAUUUAGUUUGUAACUCAUCGGGAGAGGGAUGGAUGAGAUCUCUUUACAUUGAUGCAAAUCUUCUUUCUGGGGAAAUUCCAGAUUGUUGGAAUCAUCGGUUUUUGAAUUAUUUAGAUUUGGCGAACAACAAUUUGACUGGAAAAAUCCCACCUUUGUUACAUAAAGAUCUUAGACUGCUCAACCAUCGAAAAAAUAGCAUGUUUGGAGAAUUACCCUCCACAUUGUGAAAUUCUACGAGUUUGUUUAUUCUUGAUCUUAAUGAAAAUUAUUUCAGUGAGAGUGUACCAGUAUGGAUUGGUGAUAAGCUCUCAAAACUUAUGGGUCUAUGCCUUCGAUCUAAUAACUUCAAUGGCCAUAUUCCUCAUAACAUUUGUGAUCUUCUAUCUUUCAAAACUUGGACCUUGCCCAUAACAACAUUUCAGGGGUUAUUCCACCAUGUUUCAGAAAUUUAACUGCAAUGGCCACAAAAACCAAAAUCAAUAGUGAACUUAUUUCGUGGCCAAUCCUUGGACAUUCAUUAAUUUUAGAGCAUUAUUGGUGAUGAAAGGGCGAGAAGAUGAAUAUGAGACCACACAAGGACUUGUUACUAGCAUGACCUUUCUGCUAACAGUCUCACAGGAGAGAUCUCCAAAGAAAUUGCAAGUCUUAUUGGGCUGUGAUCAUUAAAUUUGUCAGGGAGGCGACAUGGAGUUAAUAGAAUCUCUUGAUUUUCUGAUGAAUCAAUUGAAUGGUGAAAUCCCUCGAAGUUUUUGAAUUUCUUGAAUCACUUCAAUGUCUCCUACAACAACUUGGUAGAAUAAAUCUCAACAAGCACUCAACUUCAAAGCUUUGAAAACUUGUCUUAGGUGGGCAAUGAUAUUUGUGGACCUCUUCUCACUAAGAACUGCACCACAAAAGGUUUUUCAACUGAUGUUACAAAUAAUGGAGAUAGCAAUAAAAGAAGUAAAGUGAAUUGGCUUUAUGUCAGCAUAAUUCUUGGCUUUGUAAUGGGAUUUUGGGGUGUGGUGGCUCCCUUGUUUUUAAUCAGAACUUGGAGGUAUGCAUAUUAUCAAAAGUUGGAUCAUGUUGGUCGGAAGUUGUGUCUUGAGCUACUAUGGGUACGUAAUUUGAUGAAAAAAAAACAUGUAUAAUUAAGAUUUGUGUUUUAUAAUUGAUUAUAUAAUCUUCAGAUCUCAGAUCUAGGAACUAAUAAUUUUGAGUUUAGAUUUUGGUACUCAGUACAUGAUUGGUAUUUUUCCUUUUGCAAUAAUUAAUGUCAUUUCAAGCUUGUAUAAUUUAAUGAAAGUGUGUUUUGACAAUGAAUGAUUAGGUUAAAGAGUGCAAUAGGGUAAAUUUUUACUAACUUUUGUCCAGCUGAUUAACUUCAACAAUAUACAAAUCCAUCAUAUCUUGUUAACUUUAUCUGUUUCUAGAAACUUUUGUGAGGAAUUCAAAAAAUCAUGCUCGCCUCUCAUUUAGUAAAUUUCUUCUCUCUUUUUUUCCCUAGGGUGUCAAAAACCUUUUUUUAAACGAUUUAUAUUUCGAAAACGAAAAUGGGAGUCACCACCAAUCUCUUUUAUGAGGUGUGAUUGGAUCACCUCGUAAUUUGAUUGUUUUAAUAAAAAGGCUUGAUCCACUAAAACAAUGAUUUUUGGUCUACAAAAUUCAGGAAAUGGGUUUGGGAGUCGGUUAUGCACGAGGAAGGAUUAGCACCCUCAUUACACCCAAAAUUGGUACCUAAUUGAUUACUUGAUGUCUUAAUGUCGAAAAUUGAAAAUUUUAAGAGAAUUUAAAAUGUGAUCCCUUCGUAUUAAGAUAUUUUAAUAGAAAAGGUUUUAUUCUGAAUUAAUCGAGAAGAAGGAUCAUGUCCCGUCAAUUAGGACAUGACACCUUUAGUUUUCGAAAAUCAAAAUACUCGCUGUGUAAAUCGUUACUUAAAUGGAUAUUCGACUAUUUCAGUUUUAGAAAGAAGCCAUACUCCAUAAGUUUGGAGCACGACUUUUCUAAUUUCAAAAACAAUGAACAUUGCCACGAUUUGAAAAUUUUACCUUUUUUGUGCAACAUGCAAGAAAAACAAACGUAAUACUUAAAACGAUAUGCAUUUUACUUAUUCGGGCAUAAUAUACACGUGGAUAAAUGCUUAAAUUUAACGUAUGAUAUGGUGAUAGCGAAAUAAUAUAAGAUGGCCUAUGUGGGUAGAUAACAAAACAAAUAAAGUAACUUAUUUGAAAAUAAAAAAUAAAAUGAAAGGGAAGUAUAAGUAAUAUCAAAUUUAAAUAUUUAAAAUAUAAAAGAAUAAUAAAUAAAUAGGAAAAAAAUUAGAAAUAUAAUAUUAAAUAAAUAGGCAAAACAAAUAAUGUUAAAUUUAAGUAUUUAAAAAGUAAAAGAAUAAAUAAAUAAAUAAAUAAGUAAUAUUAAAUUUAAGUAUAUGAGAAAUAUACUUAAAAAUAAAAAAUAAUAAUGACAAUAUACAUAAAUGAAAAGAAUAUAAACAAUAUUUUUUUAAAUAUAUGAGAAAGAAUAAAGAAAGAAUAAAUAAAUAAGUAGAUAAAUAUAAAAGAAAACAAUUUAAUAAAGAUUAAAAAUAAAGGACUAAAUCGAAAUUUAAAUGAAAUUAAGGGCAUAAAUUAGAAAAAGAAAAAGAAAUAUAUAAAUAAAUAGGCUAAUAAGGACUCAAAUGGAACACGCUAAAAGAGACAGGGACCGAGUGGGAAAAUAUCCCAAACUUUCCUAUGCGCAUCAUUUAAAAGGACCAAAAUAAAAAAAUUUAAAAUUUAAGGGGAUAAAUUAAAAAGAAAAAAAGAAAUAGGACUAUAUUGAAAAAUUCUUAAAAAGUAGAAGGACAAAAAGCAAAAUAUCCCCCUUUUUAAAAAAAGCCAGAUCUUGAGGCCGGUCGGGUCGAUAAUUGUGUCGAUCUUCAAAACGACGUCGUUUUGGCGUCUGUGACUUAAGCCCAAAAUGACGUCGUUUUGAAGGGCUAUAUAAGUGAAAAAAUUAAUUAAAAAAAUCACUUUUGUCUGUUAAAAAAAACUUUUCAGCCUUUUUUUUCUCUCAGUCUUCCCCACUCCGGCCACGGCACUGGCGAGCUUCUGCCGACGGCCAUUGGUCGCUAAUGACUGCUCUGCCAUUCCCAGUGGCCGAAAAACCUAAAAUGCCCCUUUUGCUUAUAUUUUUUGUAGAACUCCGAUUUGGAGUUAAAACUACCAAAAUCAAAGCCAAAGUUCCAGAAAAAUGAGAAGACUCCUCGGCUCCAGUGGCAAAAAACAACCACCAAGUGAGAUCUUUUUUCUUUUCUUUAUAUUUUAUCUUUUUAUAUAUAUAAAAAUACAUUCAAAGAAAAAAGGAAAAGAAAAAAGAUCACCUUUGAAUUUUUUUCGAUUGCUUUGUUUUUUUUUUUUUGAUUUCUAUUUUUUUGAUGAAAAAAAAACCACAUACAAUCGAUUUUUGUAAGCUUUUUAUAGCCAAAUUACAACAUUAUUUUUCUAUUUUUUUUCUACUUUUUGCUACUGUUCUUGCAUGUUUUUUGCAAGGGUAGUUCACGAAGCAAUUGGUGGCAGGUGCUAGGAGCGGCGGGCAAAGGCUAGGGUGCGCUAGGGUUUUUGUUGUUGUUUUUUUUUUUCUUGAAAAUUGUUUAGUUUGUUGGGCCAUUGGGCCUUUAAUUAGACUUCAAACUUUUCAUUAUUGACGUGACAUUAAUUUAUAUUUAUGUCACAUUUACAAAUAAUUUUAAAACUAUAAAAAAAAUAUUCAAUAAAUUAUAAACUUGACAAGGAAGUUGGACAAAGUCUAUGGAGUAACUUCAAGUCCCAUGAUAUGACCUGCCAAUUAAGAUUUUUUAGGUCUUUAAAAUGAAAAGAAAGGAAAAUGAAAAUUUUAGAAAAACAUAUAAUUUGAUUAAGAUUUUUAUUUUUACAUUUAUAUUUUGGUUAAAUCAAAUCAAAUUUUAAUUUAUAAUUGACUAAAAUUAUGCAAAUUGUUUAACAAGCUCAUGACCGAAGUCAGUGGGGAUCUAAAUAAACGUAUCAAGGAACUACCUAUAUUAGCACAUUUAGUGAUGUGAUCUGCAACACCAAGAGUUUUUGGGAUAUGUCGGAUACGAAUCUCCCAUUUCCGACGCAAUACUUGAUGUAACAGCCACAGUUCCACUAAAUUACUACUAGCUCCUUCACCAGACAAAAGCAAUUCAACCAACAAAGCAUUAUCACACUCAACUUCAACUUUCCGAAAUCCUUUAUCCCAAGCUAAGAAUAAUACUUCCAACAUUGCUCUUGUUUCAACUUUAAAGACUGACUCAUAUUUAAUUUUUUUUAAAUGUUUAUAUUGUGAAUUGUGGGUAAUAUUUUUAUAUUUGUGUGCUCAUAUUACAUUUCAUUUUCAUAAGAUUAUGAAGGAUAUUGAAGUUUUAGUUACAUUCUAAUACGAAUUUCAAUCAUCCAAUUGAAUUUGCUACUUUCUUUCUCUACCUAACGUGGAAUUUAGCAAGCUUUAAAAUUCCUCAAGUAGCGUUGAUGAAGUCAAGUCAACAAAGUCUAUGGAGUAAGUCUCACUCCUCGGCAUGCUCUGUUUACUCGCUGAUAUUUUCUUCAUUAUAUACAGUAAGCAAAGAAGAAAAACCAUCACUAAUAUCUUUUCAAUUUAAUAGCUUUCAUACCAUUUUCAUUAAUAAAUAUUAUCUUUUACUCCGUUGAUUGUGCUUCACUGAAUUUUUCAAUAAAUAUGAUUGAUGGGGUUUUUUAAAGGUAAAUUUCAGAUAUAGGAAGGAAAAGGAAAAAGAAAAAGAAUGGCAAUGUUGGGCAUGAACAAAGGAAAGAAGAUGGAGAGAUCAAAUUCAUCACAAAGCUACAAACAACUCUAAAAAUAAAAUAUUAUUAAAUAUGUUAUUGAGGUUUAUUAUUAAGUAAAAAAAGCAAUGAUUAAAGUUAGGGGUGAAGCCAGAACAACUUUUCAGAGGGGCCGAAUGAAAUUUUAAUUUUUUAUAGUUUAUAUCUUUAUAACUUUUAAAAGAGUAAAUCGAAUUUUUAUAAUUUUAGGGGGUCAAAAUGUAAUUUUACCUUUACUAAUUUAAAAUUUUAAAAAAAUUAAGGACUUAAAUAGCAAUUUUAUAUUUUAAGGGGGCCGUGCCCUUGCCAGCUGCCUAGAUUCACCGCUGAUUAAAAUUCUUGUCAGAUAUUUAUUUGGUACGGAUUCAAACCAUAUUUUCCUUAUCCCUUACCUUUAAUAUUAUAAUAAAAAAAAACCUAUUGCAGCGUCAAAUUUUCUUCCAUGUCUUAAUGAAUUAGUUAAUCAAAUUUUACUCAUAUUCGUUUAGAUUUUGCUAAUCAAAAUUAAUUAUUGUUUUAAAUGAUUAAAUAUAAACACAUUAUAAUUGUCGAAACUAUAAAAAUGCUAACAGGUUACGAUAUAUUUUAUUUUUUUUAUGUUUAUUAAAUGCACCUUAUUGUACUCUUUAACCCAACAACAUUUUCAUUAUUGACAUACAAUUAAACACAAUCACACAUCAUGAAAGCUCUAAGUUCAAAAAAUUGAACAAGCUUGAAAUGCUAUUCAGUUUUGCAAAAGGGUCUAAACUCGAAGUCAAGAUCGAUUGAUUCAUGUAAUCCCUUUUAAAAUAUAGCAUUUAAUAGAUUUGAGAUCGAAAUCCUAUAUAAUCAAUUACAUACACAAACUUUAUUUAUACAUAUUUUGUUUUUCAUCAAACUAUAUACCAAUAGUAGCCCAAAACACAUAGUUUACCAUAGACAUUGUCCAGCUUUCGAUAGUAUGCAUGCCUCCAAGACCUGAUGAAAAACAAGGGAGCCACUACACCCCAAAAUCCCAUUACAAAGCCAAGAACUAUGCUGACAUAAAGCCAAUUCACUUUACUUCCUUCACUGUUACUUCCAUUAUUUGCUACAUCAGUUGAAAAACCUUUUGAGGUGCAAUUUUUAGUGAGAGGAGGUCCGCAAAGAUGAUUGCCCACGUAAGACAAGCUUUCAAAGCUUUGAAGCUGAGUGCUUGUUGGGAUUUGCCCUAUCAAGUUGUUGUAAGACACAUUGAAGUGAUUCAAGAAAUUCAAUUUGGAAAAACUUGGAGGGAUUUCACCAUUCAAUUGAUUCCUCGACAAAUCAAGAGAUUCCAUCAACUUCAUGUUGCCAAUUUCGUCCGGUAUAUUUCCUAUUAGGAGAUUCCCUGAUAGAUUUAAUGACCGUAGCUCAACGAGACUUCCAAGUUCUUUUGGGAUCUCUCCAAUUAGUCUAUUAGUUGAAAGGCACAUGCUCGUAACAAGCCCUAGUGUGGCACCGUAUUCGUCCUCUCGUCCUUUCAGCACCAAUAAUGCACUCAAAUAAAGGAAAUUAGUACUGAUACUCGACCACUGAAACAUAUAGCAGUGCUGGUUGCUUUUGUUAGCCAUUGCACUAAAAUUACUAAAACAUUUUGGAAUAGCUCCUGAAAUGUUGUUAUGGCCAAGGUCCAAGAUCCGAAGAGAUUGAAGUUGACAAAUUUUUUGAGGAAGGUGGCCAUCAAAGUUAUUCGAUCGAAGGCUUAGAAUCUCAAGUUUUGAGAGCUUGUCCCCAAUCCAUGUUGGUACACUUCCACUGAAAUGAUUGUCACUAAGAUCAAGCAUAAUCAACCUCGUAGAAUGUUGCAACGUAGAUGGUAAUUCUCCAGACAUGCCAUUGCUACGAAGGUUUAGCACUAAAAGAUUUAAAUGUCCCAAAGAAGGUGGGAUUUUUCCGGUCAAUUUGUUGUUUUCCAAAUUCAAGUAACCCAAACCUCGCCAAUGAUCCCAGCAAUCUGGGAUUUCUCCGGAGAGAAGAUUUGUUUCAAUGGCAAGAAUUCUCAUUGGUCCCUUUCUUAAUGAGUAACAAACUAAUUCAACAAGCCGGCCUGAAAAUGAAUUAUUUGACAAAAUUAAAAUUUGUAAAGCUGGGAAUACUCUUGGUAAUGGGCCUGUGAAUCGGUUUGAACUCAAGUCAACAAUUUCUGUCACGUUCAAAUAUGAAAUCCCUCCAGUAAGUUGAUUACAGGAAAGAUUUACAUAUUCAAAUUGAGUGGACAAGUUCAAAAGCCAAGUGGGCAAGAUAUCCGAAAUUCCUGCAUCCGAGAUAUCUAAAACAGAUAAAUUCUUUUGGAAUUUUAACCAUCGAGGAAACUUCGGGCCAAGAUGCCAUUGCCCCAAUCUGAUAAUUCGGCAUUGAAACGGGGGAAUCCAGCUUGAGUUUGGUUCAAAUCUCAGCCUGUUCUGUGAUGCCGCUAGAGUUGUCAAUCUCGUGAGAUUAGAAAAAUGGGUUUCCGACACAACUCCUUCCAAUUGGUUACACCCCAAAUCCAGAGUUUCCAAACUUUUCAGUUGGCCAAAACAUAGAGGAAAAGUACCAUUUAAUUGAUUUUCUGAAACAUUAAACAACUUCAAAGAUGAUAACUCCCCUAUGGACAAUGGAAUGGGACCAGAAAUAUUGUUUCCAGCAAGCGACAAGUGAGCUAGGUUUUUAAAAUGCCCAAGUUGAUCAAUUAAAUGGCCAAAAAGAUGGUUAUGUGCCAUAUCCAAUGACUCUAAGCAAUCCAAACAACAUCUAGACAGACUCAGAAGGAUUUGUGAUAUGUCUUGAUCAAUUUCAUUGCUCGAAAGAUUAAGGAAUUGAAUAUGAUACAAACUAAACAAAGAGGUGGGUGUGGAUGAAUUGAGUGAGUUCCCACUAAGAUCAAGAACUUCAAGAAGUGAGAUGUUCGUAAAAUAAUCUGGAAUUGGGCCUUGCAAGGAAUUGCCACUAAGAUCAAUGGACACAAGAUCAUGAAGACCAAAUAUCGACAUAGGUACUGAAGAAAAGUUGUUCUCAGAAAGAUCAAGAACAACCAGUGAUUUUGUAGAAUUGACACUGAUCGGGGAUGCAUCAUCUUCCAAACUGCAAGCUGACAAGUGCAACUCUAACAAUGAAGGAUGUUGGAAUGUUACCUGUAGCCAAUCUGUUGCUUUACUAAGAUCCGCAUGACUCAAAUCAAGGUACUGCAAGGAAGAAAGUCCGGAAACCCAUUGAAGGCUUUUUGGUUUGAGAUCAUUACCUCCAAGAUCAAGAUACUGCAACUUUGAAAGAUUCCCCAGGUUAUGAGGAAUUGCUCCCUGGAAUCGUGCUUGAGAGAGGUUAAGAUAUGAUAAACUCUCCAGCAAACCGAAAAAAUUCGGGAUCUGUAUGCCGCUAAAAUUGUUAUUGCUCAAGUCCAGGGAACUGAGAUGCUUCAACUCCAGCAGUGAAGGAUUUAUUUUGCCUCCUAGCAGGGAAUUGUUCUUUGAUCGAUGGUAAGCUUCCCAUUCAGCAACUGGUGCAUCAAAAUGGGGCACUGAAAGAGGAGCAGCCAAGUGCAGUUGGUUGAUAUAGCCUGUUGAGUUAUGGCACACGACACCGAGCCAUUUACAGCAACCCCCACCUUCAACCCAAGAAGACAACCUGUUUGAAGGGUCAACGAGAUCAUUCUUGAACUUCAAAAGGGCUUUUCUCUCACUUUCAAAGCAAAGCACAUUGGAAUUGGCAUCACAAAAGCUAAAACAGAUAGCUAGAAUGACAAGAAGAAAUGGGAAUAAGGUAAUUGUAACACUUUUCAUGGUUGCGAUGGUACCAACCAUUGGUUGCAACUCCAAAUAUAUAGAGUAAGCUUAGUAAAACAAAAGUAUUGUGCACAUACAUCAAGCAGAAAGAAGUUUCUUCCAAAUUUCCACAAAAUGAAUUUAAUUAAUAAUAGUCUAUCAGAAAUUUCCAGUCAAAUAUGAACACCACUUUAUCCAAAAUGAAAUUACAUAUCCAUAGUGCUGGACUGAGAUAGAGUAAGCUAAAACAAAAACAUUGUCCACAUCAUAGGCAAGGAACUUUUUUUCAGUACCCCAAAAUUCCAACAUGAAUUUUCCAAAAAGAAAAAACUAUAAAUUUGUCAAUUUUAAUAAAUUUGGACAGAAAAAACAAAAUAGAAUUAUUAAUUGUUCAUGCGAGAUGCAAUGUUGAUAUGAUGUCACAUUAUUAAUUUAUUCCUAAUUAUAAAUAAUUUAAUAGAUUUAAUCCUCUACUUUUACAAAUUCUAUUAAUUUGAUACGUAAACACAUAUAAUUAAAUACAAAUAUAAUUAAAUAAUUAUUAUAUAUUAUGAAAAAGUAUAAUGUAAUAUUAUUUACAUUAUUUUAUAUCAACACAUACUCUGUAUCUAAUACUUACACCUGAGUCCAAUAACAUGAUCCUAAACAAUAUUAUUAGAUUAGUGACUUGUGCUUUCAGGAAUCAAAGAACGAAAAAGCAAAAACAACAUAUAGUGACUGAAAAACACAAAUAACCACACAAUGAAUGAUGAAAGACUCUACUAAAUUUAACUUGCAAAAAUAAGAACUUCAAUUAAAUUCUUUGCUUUUAAGAGAUUAGUGUGUUGUUAAGCUAGUUAUGAAGCUUGCUAAAGAAUGUGAUUUUGAGGAGAUUAAGGUUAACAGUUCAGUAAUUCUUGAUGCUGAGAAAGCUAAAGUCACCAUGUUGACAACAAAAAAGUUUACAGAAGCUUCAAUCAUCUUUAGUUUCGUGCUUAUAAAUUUCGUAUUUAAUAAGGUGCCUUAAAAAUUUUGCACUGAUUAUAUAUAAUAAUAUUAUAAUUUUCCUUAAAAUAGAUUCAAAUAAUAUUAUAUAUUUUACAUUUUCAUAAUUAUAUAAAAAUUAUUUAAUUAUAUUUAUAUUUAUUUAUAUGUAUUUAAGGAUCAAAUUGAUAAAAGUUAUAAAUAUAAAAAACUAAAUGUGUCAUUAUCCAAUUAAAAAAAGACUAUAUCUUCACUUUGGUGACCAAACAUAAAUUUUUCUUCACUACCCCAAAUUUCCAGCUUAAAUUUUCCGCAGAAAAGCUAUAGAUUUGUCAAACUUAAUAGAGAAAUUGUUCACGCGAAUAAUUCAUAUGUAUUUCAUAAUAUUUUGAAAUUAUAUUAUUUUAUAUCGAAAUGAUAUCAUAAUAUUAUUGUAUUUUAUAUUUCAGGUAUUUAGCGAAAUAAAAUAAAAUUAUAAUCAAUUGAAUGUUUCUUUUUGGGAAGUUCUAAUUAAUUGCUUUAAAAUUUUGAUAUGUCGAUAUUUAAUAUAUAUAAUAUGAGAUUAUAAUAAAGAGAAAUAAAUAAUUAUGAUUACGUUACAUUUUUUAUUUGAAACACAUAUUUACAAUUUGAGAAAUUUACUCUUUUCUUCCUUGUCACCUGUAAACAAGAGAAGAAAAUAAGGAAAAACUAGGAGUAACGAAGGCUAGCUUACCUGUAAAGAUCGAGAGCUAGAAUAAGGACAAGAAGACAGACCGAUUAAGAGGAUAAGUGUUUAGAGUAACUCAGUCCCCUUGUCUAUUGGUAUGAUAUGACUAAAUAAGCAUUCAAUUUUGUUAAAUGUGUAAUGGAUAACCAUAGGUGCAUUUAAGGGAUUCUAUUAAUAUGAGGUAGUCAAGCUUAAAUAGACUCCUUAAUAUCUUGAAAAUAUGUUCAAAUUAGGAUAGUGUCCUCUUUUAAGCUCGGGUGAUCCUACUUAAGAAGUCAAUAUAGAAUUAACCAUGCUAUGCUGACACUUCGUUUGUUUUAGUUGAAUAUUGAUGAGUCUUUGUCCUAUUUGGUUGCUUAGAAGACUUAAAAUGGCAUACUUGUGUAAAGAUAACGAUGAAUCAGUCAUCAUCAACCUGUUUACUAUAUUACUUAAUUUGUCAAUAAAAUUGAAUUGUAGUUGGCUUAUGAUUGGAUGGGUUUUGUCUUUCUUUGGGACAUAAAUUUCAGUCACUGUGCAAUAUGGGAUAAGAUACCUGUUGAUUAUAUUACCUAAUUUGUAUGAAAUUGAACUGUUGUUGGCUUAUGAUUGGAUGGGUUUUUCUCAUUGGGAGGUAAUUUUCAGUCACUGUUGUAACAGGAUUUUGCUUCUUAGACCUGGCACACACUUACAUGUUCUUUUUGCAUUUCAUGAAAAAGUUAAAUUAUCUAAUUAAAUUGAUAAAAUGUGUAAAUAUAGAAAACUAAAUGUGUCAUUAUCCAAUUAAAAAAAAGACUAUAUCUUCACUUUAUUGACCAAACAUAAAUUUUUCUUCACUACCCCAAAUUUCCAGCUUAAAUUUUCCACAGAAAAGCUAUAAAUUUGUCAAACUUAAUAGAGAAAUUGUUCAGGCGAAUAAUUUAUAUGUAUUUCAUGAUAUUCUGAAAUUAUUUUAUUUUAUAUCGAAAUAGUAUCAUAAUAUUAUUUUAUCUUAUAUUUUACGUAUUCAACGAAAUAAAAUAAAAUUAUAGUCAAUUGAAUGGGAAAGUUCUAAUUAAUUGCUUUAAAAUUUAAACAUGUCGAUAUUUAAUAUAUAUUAUAAUAAUAUGAGAUUACAAUAAAGAGAAAUAAAUAAUUAUUUUCACGUUACAGUUUUUUUGACACAUGACAUUUGUCAUUUGAAACACAUAUUUACAAUUUGAGAAAUUUACUCUUUUCUUCUUUGCCUUUUAAUUUUUUAAGUCAUUCCAUACUUUUUUUUAUUUUUUUUCUUAAUAAUUUUUUUUGUUAAAUAUAUAAUUUAUUUUAAAUAAAUUAUUUAUUUAUUUUAAUACCUUACUUAAUUGAAUUAAAUUUUAAUGUUAUCAUAUUAAAAUUAAUGAAUAUUAAUUUGUUAAGUUUAAAAUAUAGUUUUAAAAAAAGAAACAUAUUAAGAAUAUUAUUAAAUUAAAUUUUUAUUUUUCAAAUAUAAUAAGAGUUAAUUAUAUUAAUUGAUUAAAUUAGAAAAAAAAGAUAAAUAUAAAAUUACAAAUAUUGAAUAUUAACAAUUUUGACAUUAAAGUAAAUUAAUUUUUAACAAUAUAUAUAAUAAAUAAUAGGUAAGAAACUAUUAAUAAUAUUAUUUAAAUUAUAAUAUAUUAAUAUUAAUAUUCAUGAUGAAUUUUUUGUAUUAUUUUAAUAUUAAAUAUUUUUAAAACCUAACUAAUUGCAAUAUAAUUAAUUCUAAAAUAAGUAGAUAUUUGCCUUUGUUGAUACAGAUCGAGAGCUAGAAUAAGGACAAGAAGACAAACCGAUUAAGAGGAUAAGUGUUUAGAGUAACUCUAGGGUGUCCCAGUCCAUAGUUUUUCAAGGUACUUAUAGGAAACGUCCCCUUGUCUACUGGUAUGAUAUGACUAAAUAAGCGCUCAAUUUCGUUAAAUGUGUAAUGAAUAAUCAUAGACACAUUUAUAGGAUUCUAUUAAUAUGAAGUAGUCAAGCCUAAAUAGACUCCUUAUUAUCUUGAAAAUAUGUUCAAAGAUCCUACUCAAAAAGUCAAUAUAGAAUUAACCAUGCUAUGCUGACACUUUAUUUGUUUUAGUUGAAUAUGGAUGAGUCUUUGUCCUAUUUGGUUGCUUAGAAGACUUAAAAUGGUAUACUUGUGUAAACAUAAUGAUGAAUCAGUCAUCAUCAACCUGUUUAUUAUAUUACUUAAUUUGUCAAUAAAAUUGAAUUGUAGUUGGCUUAUGAUUGGAUGGGUUUUCUCUUUCUUUGGGACAUAAAUUUCAGUCACUGUGCAAUAUGGGAUAAGAUACCUGUUGAUUAUAUUACCUAAUUUGUAUGAAAUUGAAUUGUUGUUGGCUUAUGAUUGGAUGGAUUUUUCUCUUUGGGAGGUAAUUUUCAGUCAUCGUUAUAACAGGAUCUUGCUUCUUACACCUGGCACACACUUACAUGUUCUUUUUGCAUCAUGAAAAAGGUUAAAUUUUAGUUUUGAUCCUUUUAAUAUGCUUAAAUUUAUAACAUAUAUGUAAAAGAAGUGGAAAGGACCUUCCUUGACAUCACUUACAUGUUCUCUUUUUCUUUUCUUUUCAUAAAAAAGGUUCAAAUUCAGUUUUGGUCCUUUUAAUAUGUUUAAACUUAAAAUUUAGAUCCAAAGGACCUUCCUUCUAACACGUGGCACACACUUACAUGUUCUCUUUCUUUUUUAUUGCAUUUCAUAAAAAGGCUAAGUUUCAGUUUGGUCCUUUUAAUAUGUUUAAAUUUAAAAUUUAAUUCAUAUAUUUUAAUUUUUAAUAUAAUUUGAUCAUUAUAUUUUUAAUAUUAUUAAUUUAUACUUUUUUUGCAUUUUUACAUUAUAAUAUAAUGGUCAAAAUUCAAUUUGGACAUCUAUAUUAUGCUGAAACUUAAUAUUUAAUAUUCUAUAUACUUUAAUUUUUAUUUAAUUUGAUUCUCCUACUUCUAUAAUGUCGUUAUUUAGUCUAAAUAGUUAAUUUUGUUAACAAUUUCAAUCAAAAUGGUAUCGCCAUUUUUUCUUAAGAACACUACAACAAAAAUAUUAAUUUAUCAUAAUGAGUUUGAAUGGGUACUUUAAAAAAAAUAUAUUGAUUGCUAUUUUCAAUAUUAUUUUCUUGUUACAAGAGUAAUAAGAGAACUUUCUUUCUUCUUUUUUUUCGUUUCUAAAUGUCACACUAGUAAAUUUAGUAGAUGAAUUUUAACACAAUGCUGAUUAUCGCACUAAAUUUUUAAAUUCAAAAAAUAAAAAGACAAAAUCCUUAAAAAGGGGACUGAAUUCCAAAUGUGCGAUAUGUAUAAAGACUUAAAACUUAGUUUAAUCUUUAAAUUUUUACUUCAUAAUUUAAUAAAACAAUUCAUCAAUCAGACGCAAAGCGUUAAAACCAUCUAGUAGGAAAAAGAGAAGAACCAUGUUGGGUUUGAACAAUGGUGUUGUUGAGAUGGACCAUAUAAAAACAAAGAUCGCGGUUGUCAAUUCAUCAAUAGGGCAAGAUUUAUUUUUAGAUUUAUAAUGUCAACUUUGUCAAUUUCGUUCUUGCCUUAUUGCCCUCUUUAACACAAUAGCAUCUUCACUAUUGAAAUACAAUAAAACAAAACCAUACAAUACAUCAUCAGAGCAUACUUCCAAUAAAUUAUACAAGCUCGAAAUGUCAUUUAUUCUUGCAAAAAAGGGAAAGCAUGAAUAAGUAUCGAGUACUAUGAUGACAUAAAGCCAAUUCACUUUACCUCCUUCAUGGCUACCUCCAAUAAUUGUAACAUCAACCAUAAUAUCCUUUGUGGUGCAUCUUUUAGUGAGAGGAGGUCCAUGUAAGAAAAGUUUUUAAAGCUUUGAAGUUGAGUGCUUGUCGAGAUUUGUCCUGUUGUAGAUCAAGUUGAAGAGAUUUUAGAAAUUUAAAUUAGAGAAAUUUGGACGGAUUUCAUCGUUGAUUAAUCGACAGAUCAAGAGAUUCCAUUAACUUCAUGUUGCCAAUGUUGUUUGGUAUAUUUCUUAUUAGGAGAUUCUUUGACAAAUUUAAUGAUAGUAGCCCAACGAGAGUUUCAAUUUCUUUGGAGAUCUCUCUUGUGACAUUAUUAGCUGAAAUGUCUAUGCUGGUAGCAAGUCUUGGUGUGGUACUCUAUUCAUCUUCUCAUCCUUUCAACACCAAUAGUGCACUCAAAUGUAUUUAUGUCCCAUUUUGAUAAUUCAAAUAUAGAAAUAAUUUCGUUUUAACAAGACACGAACCGAGCAACAACUUUCACAAAAAAAAAAAAAAUUAAAUUAGUACCUAACUGAAAGUACAUAAAUUUUAAUUCAUAAAAUAUUAUAUAUUACAAUAGUUAGAGAUUGUAUAUGUAUUUUCUAUUGAUAUUAGGAUUUAAAUUUUAUGCUAUGCUUUUAUUUAUAUUUAUAUUUUAACUUUAUAUUUUAUAUUAGUAUAAUAUAGUAAAAAUUAUUUUAAUCAUAUUUCAACAAAAAUUAUCAAAUUAGAUUAUCAUAUCAUAAUUUAAUAAUCGCAUGAGAGGUCAAAAGUAGUUCAUAUAAAAGAACAAAGAAAAGAAAACCUAACCAACAUCACUAAAUAUAAACACGUCCUUACAUUUUCAUAAUUUCCUAUUGUUUUAAUCACUACAAUAUAUGUAUAAAGGUUUAUAUUAUGCUUUAGUUAAAUUACACCCAAAUUCACUUUAAAAUAUGGUUUUUCAUAUUUUGAUCAUUUUAAAUUUUUUUAAUUUAAUCACUCUAAUUAAGAUAAUUAUUUGAAUUAAUCACGACAUUAAAAAUUCUAUCAAUUUAAUAAAAAAUUGUUAAUCUGACAUAUUAAUCAAUUGAAAGAUUCAUAGGUCAAUUUUUUUUUUUUUGACAAAGCUUACAUACCUCUGUAUGAUUAAUCAAAACAUUUUUUUUUCCUUUUAUCUUCUCUCCAUAACUCAAAAUGGAGAAAUCAAAAUAGGGCAUCUCAAAGCUACCUAUGUUUCACCAUUCUUUCAACAAUAAAUCUAUGAUAACGGUUAGAAUUAAGUGACCCGAAUCCUUAUUAAAAUAAAGUACAGUGGUAAAAUAAAAUAAAAGUAAAAUCCAUAUAGAACUAUACUUUUAUUUUAUUUUAGAAUAAGAUUUUUCAACUUUAUUACACUUCAUCUAUUGAUAUUGAUUAGAAUUAGGUGUUUAAAUCUUACUACACUCUUUUUAUUAGAAUAUGGUUUUACAAGCCUAUAAAUAGACACCUCUUCUUGUAAUUAUUCGAAUUCGACAUAGCGAAUUAUCUUCUCCCCUGCCUGUUGUUUUUUCUCAAAAAGGAUUCCACGUAAAAUCUGUUUGUUCUUUAUUUUUAUUUUUACUCUUUUCUUUAUGAUGCAUUGUCAUUAUCAACGUUAUAUUUAUCACAGCAACUAUCAAGAAUAACCCACCAUACAUCCACAAAUAAUUAAGGAGGAAUGAACAUAUAUAAAAACCCCAAUCAAAAUCUACACGAAUCUGACGGUCAUCAAGGAUUGUCCCACUAAUGUAAUUAACAACAUCCUCUGCAUCUUCCCUAGAAUGAUUCCUGAUGGAAAAUAAAAAACCCAAUAACCAAUUAAGAGCUUUAAAAUAAAUAUUAACAUGAUUUAAAGGAGGAAAACAAGAGAGAGAGAGUUACAAGACAAAGCAAAAGCCACAAGGUGUUUUAGAGGUCUUGUUAAGGCCCAUGUUUAUUUUCUUGAUUUCACCGGAUGUAGAGAAAAGCUCAUAAACUUGUUCUUUAGUAGUGUAAAAAGACACGUUUCCGAUGUAGACAGUUGUCGAAGUGAGGAGUGCUUGCUCGAAUCCCUCUUGCGAACCAUUAAACCUUCCGUCUCGGUACGCUAAAAGCUUAGCUGAGUCCUAUGAUUUAACAAACCCCCCAAAAAAGAGAGAAAAAUUAUCAUUUAACUGAUGUACAUUGAAAGCAAUUAGGAAGCAAUAAGAAAAGAAAAUAUCUUGAACAGAGAAUCCAUUACCUUCUUCAAAAGCUCCCAAAAAUUCGAAUUGCCUGCAUAUAACGAAUUAUAAAGGUUGAAUUUCUUGCCCUUGCCCUAUCCAUGCCAUAGAUCCAUUCUUAUUUAUAUAUGUUCACUCUUCUUUAAUUAUUUGUGGAUGUGUGGUGGGUUAUCCUUGGUAGUUGCCAUAGAUCCAUUGUUGAGAAACUGGUGAAGGGCAUGUAGCUUUGAGAUGCCCUGUUUUGGUUUCUCCUUUUUCAGCUUCGGAGAGAAGAGAAAGGGGAAAAAAUUGUUUAGGAUUAAUUAUAGAAAGGUCCCUCAGCUUUUGUUAAAAGUCAAAGGAAAGUAUCACGUGUUAUCAUUCAAUUGGCUAAUAUGCCACAUCAACAAUUCGUUAGUAGAUCAAUAGAAUUUAAUGGUUGUGGCUAAUUCAAACAAUUAUCUUGAUUAGAGUGAUUAAAUUGAGAAAAAAAUUAGAGUGACCAAAUAGGACAAACCUUAUUUUAAAAUGAUCUCGUGUGUAAUUUACCCUUAUACUUUUAUGGGCGUCCAAAAUUACUAAUUUUUAUUUUUGAGAGAAAAGAAAUUCAUUAAUGAGAAAAUCACAAAACAGAAGCAAACACAAAGAGGAGAUGGACUACUAAACUCGAGCCAACAGGCUCACCCCAUACACCCAAACUUAUUGUCCGCAAUCCUCAUUCGUAUCAACAUAAGACAUAAUUUUAAAAUUCUUCAAAAACGAUGCAAAGUAACCCUUUCCGUGUGGUUUGCAUGUAACAAAACCGCUCACGCAAGUGAGUAGGCUACCUUGUUGGCACACGACGGGUCCAAAACAAGGAUAGAUGCUAAAACUAAUCUUUCAGCACCAAACAAUCAAGUUGCAGCACACCUAACUCAGAUGCAUCAAUGAUACAUGCUUUUUUCCCAUCAAACUACAUACCCAUAGUAGCCCAAAACACAUAUAGUUUACCAUAGACAUUGUCCAGCUUUCGAUAGUAUGCAUGCCUCCAAGACCUGAUGAAAAACAAGGGAGCCACUACAACCCAAAAUCCCAUUACAAAGCCAAGAACUAUGCUGACAUAAAGCCAAUUCACUUUACUUCCUUCACUGCUACUUCCAUUAUUUGCAACAUCAGUUGGAAUGCCUUUUGUAGUGCAGUUUUUAGUGAGAGGAGGUCCGCAAAGAUGAUUGCCCACGUAAGACAAGUUUGCAAAGCUUUGAAGUUGAGUACUUGUUGGGAUUUGUCCUGUCAAAUUGUUGUAUGACACAUUGAAGUGAUUCAAGAAAUUCAAUUUGGAGAAACUUGGAGGGAUUUCACCAUUUAGUCGAUUCAUGGCCAAAUCAAGAGAUUCCAAAAACUUCAUGUUGCCAAUGUUGUCUGGUAUAUUUCCUGUUAGGUGAUUCCCUGAGAAAUUUAAAGACAAUAGUCCAACGAGACUACCAAUUUCUUUGGGGAUCUCUCCUGUGAAACUGUUAACAGAAAGGUCCAAGUUGGUAACAAGUCCUAGUGUGUGACCAUAUUCAUCCUCUCGCCCUUUCAACACCAAUAAGGCACUCAAAUAAAAUGGGUAAUUAAUGAAAUACAGCGUAGAAAGUUCAUUUUUGGUUUUGUUUGUUGUGGCCAUUGCACUUAAAUUAUUGAAGCAUUUUGGAAUAACUCCUGAAAUGUUGUUGUGGGCAAGGUCCAAAUUUUGAAGAAAUUGAAGAUCACAAAUUUUGUGAGGAAUAUGACCAUCAAAAUUAUUUGACCGAAGGCUUAGAACCACAAGGUUUGAGAGCUUAUCACCAAUCCAGCUGGUACACUUCCAUUGAAAUGAUUUUCACUAAGAUCAAGCAUAAUCAAAUUUGUAGAAUUUUGCAUUGUGGAUGGCAAUUCUCCAAACAUUCUAUUGUUUCGAAGGUUUAACGUUGAAGGAUUUGUUUGUCCCAAAGUAAGUGGGAUUUUUCCUGUUAAAUUGUUAUUUCCUAAAUUUAAAUAAGCUAAAACAUCCCAAUGAUUCCAACAAUCUGGAAUUUCUCCAUUGAGUAAAUUUGUAUCAAUGUAAAGAGUUAUCAUCCCCGUUAAUGAUGGAUUACAAAUUAAUUGAUGAAGGGAUCCUGAAAAUGAAUUAUUUGACAAAAAUAAAAAUCUCAAACUUGAGAGUACUCUUGGCAAUGGACCUGUAAAGCUGUUUGAACUCAAGUCAACAAUGUCUCCCACAUUCAAAUACGAAAUCUCUCCUGUAAGCUGAUUUGAGGAAAGAUUUAAAUAUUCAAAUAGAGUGGGAAGGUUCAAAAACCAAGUGGGCAUGACAUCUGAAAUUCCUACAUGGGAGAUAUCCAAAGACGAUAAAUUCUUUUGGAAUUUUAACCAGUGGGGAAACUUUGGGCCAAGGUUCCAGUGGCCCAAUUCAAUAAUUCGACAUUGAAAUGGGGGAAUCUAGCUUGAGUUUGGUUCAAAUUUAAGCCUAUUGUGUGAUGCUUUCAAAGUUGUCAAUCUGGUGAGAUGACAGAAAUGGGGUUCUAAUACAACUCCCUCCAAUAGAUUAUACCCAAAAUCCAGAGUUUCCAAACUUUCCAGUUGUCCAAAACAUAGAGGAAAGGUACCAUUUAAUUGAUUUUCUGAUACAUCGAAGAACUUCAAAGAUGAUAACUCCCCUAUAGACAAUGGAAUUUGACCAUUUAAUUGAUUUUUUGAAACAUCAAAGAAUUUCAAAGACCAUAACUCCCCUAUGGAUGAUGGAAUGGGACCAGAAAUUUUGUUUUGAGCAAGGGACAAGUAAGAUAGAUUUUUAAAUUGUCCAAGUUGAUCAGUUAAAUGGCCAGAAAGUUGGUUAUCUGCCAUAUCCAAUGACUCUAAGGAACCCGAACGACAUCUAGACAAACUCUGUAGGAUUUCUGAUAUUCCACCUUCAAUUUUAUUGUAUGACAAAUCCAUCUCCUUCAAUUUGCACAGAUAUUCCAGAGAGGUUGGUAAUCUUCCUUCCAACAUAUCAUUAUGAGAAAGAUCAAGAUGAGUAACAGAGCUGAAGUUUCCAAUGGCACUCGAGAUUGUUCCUUGUAACUGGUUAUCACCAAGACUAAGGAACUGAAGAUGGUAUAAACUGUACAUGGAGUUGGGUAUGGAUGAAUUGAGUGAGUUCGAACGAAGAUCAAGAACUUUAAGAAACGAGAUGUUCCCAAAGUAAUCUGGAAUUGGGCCUUCUAAAGAAUUCUCACUAAUAUCAAUGGACAUAAGACCAUGAAGACUAAAUAUCGACUUAGGUACUGAAGAAAAGCGGUUCAAAGAAAGAUCAAGAAUAACCAGUGAUUUUGUAGAAUUAACACUAAUCGGAGAUGGAUCAUCUUCCAAACCACAAUUUGACAAGUGCAACUCUAACAAAGAAGGAUGUUUGAAUGUUACCUGUAGCCAAUCAGUUGCUUUAGAAAGAUCCGCACCACUCAAAUCAAGGUACUGCAAGGAAGAAAGUCCAGAAACCCAUUGAAGACUUUUAACUUUGAUAUCCCACCGGUACAUAGUAUCACCACGAAGAUCAAGAUACUGCAACUUUGAAAGAUUCCCCAGGUUUUGAGGAAUUGUUCCCUGGAAUCCUGCUUGAGAGAGAUUAAGAUGUGUUAAACUCCCCAGCACACCCAAAAAUUUCGGGAUAUGUAUGUUGCUAAAAUUGUUAUUGCUCAAGUCCAGGGAACUUAGAUGCUUCAACUCCAGUAGCGAAGGAUUGAUAUUCCCUCCUAGCAUGGAAUUGUAGUAAGCUUCCCAUUCAACAUAUGGUGCGAAGAAAUCAGGCUCUGAAAGAGGAGAAGUCAAGUGCAGUUGGUUGACGUGGCCUGUUGAGUUUUGGCAGAUGACACCAAUCCAUUCACAGCAAUCCCCACCUUCAACCCUGAAGAUAGCCUGUUUGAAGGAUCAAUAAGAUCAAUCUUGAAUUUCAAGAGAGCUUCUCUCUCACUUUCAAUGCAAAGAACGUUGGAAUUGGCAUCACAAAUGCUAAAACAGAUAGCAGCAAUGAGAAGAAGAAAUUGGAAUAAGGAAAUUGGAAGAGGAGUUGUCAUGGUUGCAAUUGCAUGCUACCAACCAUUGCUCACAACUCCAAACUAACAGAGUAAGCUUAGCUAAAACACAAAAAUAUUGUGCACAUACAUCAAGCGCAAUGAAGUUUCUUCCAAAACCCCAAAUUUCCACAAAAUGCAUUUAAUUUCCACAAAAUUUACUAUCAAGGGAAAAUUUCUAAUUAAUUGCAUUUAUUUUUCAACAAAAUGUAAUAUGAAUUUCUAUUACUAAAAUAAAGAAAUGUUAUAAAACCCAGUCAAACAAAAUGGAUGCCGUGGUCCCUUAAUCAUUUCUUCAUGCAUAAAACAAUAUUAAAUAAAUUAUAAUAAAAAAAUCUAAAAUUAUAAUAAUUAACUAAACUAUAUCACAUCUAAUCUCUUAAUGGACCUACAAAACGAGGAGGAUUAGUCAUUGGGUUCGCUCAAAUAGAUAUCGCAUAUAAGAAUUUUUUAUCUAUUUUUUUUUAAUUUAAAGAAUUUACAUUUUUUAAAUUUUUAAAUUUUUUAAAUUUCUAAAUUUUUAUAUAUUUUUUGAAUUUUUAAAUAUUUUAGAUUUUUUAAUUUUAAAAUGUGACAUAUAAGACAAAAUAAUAUCGUGUAUACAUUCAAUACUUGUGAACUAUCACACGAGGUGUCAUUUCAGUGCUUGGCAUCCAACAUUAGCUACUUAAUGGCUCCAAUUUUGUAAAGGGUAAACUACACCCAAGAUCACUAAACUAUUAGUAUGUUUAUGUUUUGAUCACGCAAUUUUAAAAUAUUUCAAAAUAAUCACUAAACUAUUUAAAAGUUUUCAUUUAAAGCCAAAAAAAAAAUCAAUUCACCAUUCAAAUAUAACCCUUAGUUUCUAUUAAAAUGAAUGAAAUUACAUAUCCAUACUAUUAUAGUAGCAAUUAGAGCUAAUCCUGGGUCGGGUCUCAAUAAAAUUUUAGGUUCAUUUUUUGGCUCGUUUUUUGGCCCGAGCUCGACUCAGCCCAAAAAAUGGGCCUAAAAUUUUGUUCAAUCCCGUCCCGAAUUAUAGAAGCCAAGAUCAAGCCCGGCCUGGCCCAUAUUAAUUUUUUUAGAUGAUUUAUUGUAUACAAUAAAUUUAAAAAAUAUAUAAUAUAUCAAAUACACUUCAAAACAUUAAAACAACAAACAAAUUAAAAAUACAUUAAAAAUUCUGUAACGCCCCAAAUUUUGAACAUAUGUUUGAUAAAUUCUAUCAAUAAAUAAGUCUCUGUAUCUGUAGUUAAGUGUUCUGUUUAUGUGUUAGAGAUCCGGGUUUGAGUAUUUCUUCUUAAAUUUUUACGGUCUAUUUUGGUUCAACCCCUAUUCUUAAACUCCCGACUUAAGUUUAUUUUUACGUUAAUCUGUAUCAAUAAUGAGCCUGCUAGUUCAAUGGUUGAUAAAUGCCAAAAGUAACAUGUUUUAGCCUCAUUCUUAAUGCAUUUUUGGAUGAUUAUUCGAUUUAAAAAUGUGAAUUUUAUGCUCCUAAUCCUUUAAAUUCAUGUUUAUAUACUUAAGAGAGCAUUUGGGAGCAAAAUGAGCAAAACUCUAAAAAUCGGAGCAAGUUUUAGGAGCCACAUGGCCAUGUCUCAGACCAUGUGGAAAUCACGAAUUACACUUCAAAAAGUAAAAAAUAUAUAAUUUUUAGGCUUUUUUGGGCAUUCUAAGACCUAUAUAUGACAAAGAUAAGAAGAUGAGAGAAAACUGUCAUUAAAUGGGUUUUUGGUGUUGGUUUUUUUUUCCUGAAAAUUGUUUAGUUUGUUGGGCCAUUGGGCCUUUAAUUAGACUUCAAACUUUUCAUUAUUGACAUGACAUUAAUUUAUAUUUAUGUCACAUUUACAAAUAAUUUUAAAACUAUAAAAAAAAUAUUGAAUAAAUUAUAAACUUGACAAGGAAGUUGGACAAAGUCUAUGGAGUAACUUCAAGUCCCAUGAUAUGACCUGCCAAUUAAGAGUUUUUAGGCCUUUAAAAUGAAAGGAAAGGAAAAUGAAAAUUUUAGGAAAACAUAAAAUUUGAUUAAGAUUUUUAUUUUUACAUUUAUAUUUUGGUUAAAUCAAAUCAAAUUUUAAUGUAUAAUUGACUAAAAUUAUGCAAAUUAUUCAACAAGGUCAUGACCGAAGUCGGUGGGGAUCUAAAUAAACAUAUCAAAGAACUACCUAUAUCAGCACAUUUAGUCAUGUGAUUUGCAACACCAAGAGUUCUUGAGAUAUGUAGGAUACGAAUCUCCCAUUUUCGACGCAAUACUUGAUGUAGCAGCCACAGUUCCAGUAAAUUAUUACUAGCUCCUCCAGCAGACAAAAGUAAUUCAACCAACAAAGCAUUAUCACACUCAACUUCAACUUUCCGAAAUCCUUUAUCCCAAGCUAAGAAUAAUACUUCCAACAUUGCUCUUGUUUCAACUUUAAAGACUGACUCAUAUUUAAUUUUUUUUAAAUGUUUAUAUUGUGAAUUGUGGGAAAUAAUUUUAUAUUUGUGUCCUCAGAUUACAUUUAAUUUUCAUAUAUGAUUAUGAAGGAUAUUGAAGUUUUAGUUACAUUCUAAUACGAAUUUCAAUCAUCCAAUUGAAUUUGUCACUUUCUUUCUCUACCUAACGUGGAAUUUAGCAAGCUUUAAAAUUCCUCAAGUAGCGUUGACGAAGUCAAGUCAACAAAGUCUAUGGAGUAAGUCUCACUCCCUCGGCACGCUCUGUUUACUCGCUGAUAUUUUCUUCAUUAUAUAAAGUAAGCAAUCAAGAAAAACCAUCACUAAUAUCUUUUCAAUUUAAUAGCUUUCAUACCAUUUUCAUUAAUAAAUAUUAUCCUUUAGUCCGUUGAUUGUGCUUCACUUAAUUUUUCAAUGAAUAUAAUAGUUUUUGGCUUAUGAUUGAUGGGGUUUUUUAAAGGUAAUUUUCUGUCAUUGUGCAAUGCAUGUGGGAUCAGAUAUAGGAAGGAAAAGGAAAAAGAAAAAGAAUGGCAAUGUUGGGCAUGAACAAAGGAUCAAAGAAGAUGGAGAGAUCAAAUUCAUCACAAAGCUACAAUCAACUCUAAAAAUAAAUUAUUAUUAAAUAUGUUAUUGAGGUUUAUUAUUAAGUAAAAGAAGCGAUGAUUAAAGUCAGGGCGAAGUCAGAACAAUUUUUUAGAGGGGACUGAAUGAAAUUUUAAUUUUUUUAUAGUCUAUAUCGUUAUAAUUUUUAAAGGAUUAAAUCGAAUUUUUAUAAUUUUAGGAGAGGCCAAAGUGUAAUUUUACCUUUACUAAUUUAAAAUUUUAAAAAAAACUUUAAGGGCUUAAAUAACAAUUUUAUAUUUUAGAGGGGGCCGGAAGCCUUCCCAGCCCCCUAGAUUCACCACUGAUUAAAAUUCUUAUCAGAUAUUUAUUUAGUACGGAUUCGAACCAUAUUACCCCUAUCCUUUACCUUUAAUAUUAUAAUAAUAAUAAAAACCCUAUUGCAGCGUCAAAUUUUCUUCCAUGUCUUAAAGAAUUAGUUAAUCAAAUCUUACUCAUAUUCGUAUAGAUUUUGUUAAUCAAACUUAAUUAUUGUUUUAAGUGGUUAAAUAUAAACACAUUAUAAUUGUCGAAACUAUAAAAAUGCUAACAGGUUACGAUAUAUUUUAAUUUUUUUUUAUGUUUAUUAAAUGCACCUUAUUGCACUCUUUAACCCAACAACAUUUUCAUUAUUGACAUACAAUUAAACACAAUCACACAUCAUGAAAGCUCUAAGUUCAAAAAAUUGAACAAGCUUGAAAUGCUAUUCAGUUUUGCAAAAGGGUCUAAACUCGAAGUCAAGAUCGAUUGAUUCAUGUAAUCCCUUUUAAAAUAUAGCAUUUAAUAGAUUUGAGAUCGAAAUCCUAUAUAAUCAAUUACAUACACAAACUUUAUUUAUACAUAUUUUGUUUUUCAUCAAACUAUAUACCCAUAGUAGCCCAAAACACAUAUAGUUUACCAUAGACAUUGUCCAGCUUUCGAUAGUAUGCAUGCCUCCAAGACCUGAUGAAAAACAAGGGAGCCACUACACCCCAAAAUCCCAUUACAAAGCCAAGAACUAUGCUGACAUAAAGCCAAUUCACUUUACUUCCUUCACUGUUACUGCCAUUAUUUGCUGCAUCAGUUGAAAUACCUUUUGAGGUGCAAUUUUUAGUGAGAGGAGGUCCGCAAAGAUGAUUUCCCACGUAAGACAAGCUUUCAAAGCUUUGAAGCUGAGUGCUUGUUGGGAUUUGUCCUAUCAAGUUGUUGUAGGACACAUUGAAGUGACUCAAGAAAUUCAAUUUGGAAAAAUUUGGAGGGAUUUCACCAUUCAAUUGAUUCCUCGACAAAUCAAGAGAUUCCACCAACUGCAUGUUGCCAAUUUCGUCCGGUAUAUUUCCUAUUAGGAGAUUCCCUGAUAGAUUUAAUGACCGUAUCGCAACGAGACUUCCAAAUUCUUUUGGGAUCUCUCCAAUUAGUCUAUUAGUUGAAAGGCAGAUGCUCGUAACAAGCCCUAGUGUGGCACCGUAUUCAUCCUCUCGUCCUUUCAGCACCAAUAAUGCACUCAAAAAAAGGAAAUUAGUACUGAUACUCGACCACUGAAACAUAUAGCACUGCUGGUUGCUCUUGUUAGCCAUUGCACUAAAAUUACUAAAACAUUUUGGAAUAGCUCCUGAAAUGCCGUUAUGGCCAAGGUCCAAGAUCCGAAGAGAUUGAAGUUGACAAAUUUUUUGAGGAAGGUGGCCAUCAAAGUUAUUGGAUCGAAGGCUUAGAAUCUCAAGUUUCGAGAGUUUGACCCCAAUCCAUGCUGGUACACUUCCAUUGAAAUGAUUGUCACUAAGAUCAAGCAUAAUCAACCUCGUAGAAUGUUGUAACGUAGAUGGUAUUUCUCCAGACAUGCCAUUGCGACGAAGGUUUAGCACUGAAAGAUUUAAAUGUCCCAAAGAAGGUGGGAUUUUUCCGGUCAAAGUGUUGUUUUCCAAAUUCAAGUAACCCAAACCUCGCCAAUGAUCCCAGCAAUCUGGGAUUUCUCCGGAGAGAAGGUUUGUUUCAAAGGCAAGAAUUCUCAUUGGUCCCUUUCUUAAUGAAUUACAAACGAAUUCAAAAAGCGGGCCUGAAAAUGAAUUAGUUGACAAAAUUAAAAUUUGUAAAGUUGGGAAUACUCUUGGCAAUGGGCCUGUGAAUUGGUUUGAACUCAAGUCAACAAUUUCUGUCACGUUCAAAUAUGAAAUCCCUCCAGUAAGUUGAUUACACGAAAGAUUUACAUAUUCAAAUUGAGUAGACGAGUUCAAAAGCCAAGUGGGCAAGAUAUCCGAAAUUCCUGCAUCCGAGAUAUCUAAAACAGAUAAAUUCUUUUGGAACUUUAACCAUCGAGGAAACUUGGGGCCAAGAUUCCAUUGCCCCAAUUUGAUAAUUCGACAUUGAAACGGGGGAAUCCAGCUUGAGUUUGGGUCAAAUCUCAGCUUGUUCUGUGAUGCCGCUAGAGUUGUCAAUCUCGUGAGAUUAGAAAAAUGGGAUUCUGAUACAACUCCUUCCAAUUGGUUACACCCCAAAUCCAGAUACUGCAACUUUGAAAGAUUCCCCAGGUUAUGAGGAAUUGCGCCCUGGAAUCGUGCUUGAGAGAGAUUAAGAUAUGUUAAACUCUUCAGCAAACCGAAAAACUUCGGAAUCUGUAUGCCGCUAAAAUUGUUAUUGCUCAAGUCCAGGGAACUGAGAUGCUUCAACUCCAGCAGUGAAGGAUUUAUUUUGCCUCCUAGCGGGGAAUUGUUCUUUGAUCGAUGGUAAGCUUCCCAUUCACCAACUGGUGCAUCAAAAUGGGGCACUGAAAGAGGAGCAGCCAAGUGCAGUUGGUUGAUAUGGCCUGUUGAGUUAUGGCACACGACACCGAGCCAUUUACAGCAAUCCCCACCUUCAACCCAAGAAGACAACCUGUUUGAAGGGUCAACGAGAUCAUUCUUGAACUUCAGAAGGGCUUUUCUCUCACUUUCUAUGCAAAGCACAUUGGAAUUGGCAUCACAAAAGCUAAAACAGAUAGCUAGAAUGACAAUAAGAAAUGGGAAUAAGGUAAUUGUAAUACUUUUCAUGGUUGCGAUGGUACCAGCCAUUGGUUGCAACUCCAAAUAUAUAGAGUAAGCUUAGUAAACAAAAGUAUUGUGCACAUACAUCAAGCAGAAAGAAGUUUCUUCCAAAUUUCCACAAAAUGUAUUUAAUUAAUAAUAGCCUAUCAGAAAUUUCCAGUCAAAUAUAAACACCAUUUUAUCUAAAAUGAAAUUACAUAUCCAUAGUGCUGGACUGAGAUAGAGUAAGCUAAAACAAAAACAUUGUCCACAUCAUGGGCAAGGAACUUUUUUCCGGUACCCCAAAAUUCCAACAUGAAUUUAUUGCCAGAAAGAAAAACUAUGACUUUGUCAAUUUUAAUAAAUUUGGACAAAAAAAAAACAAAAUAGAAUUAUUAAUUGUUCAUGCGAGAUGCAAUGUUGAUAUGAUGUCACAUUAUGAAUUUGUUCCUAAUUAUAAAUAAUUUAAUAGAUUUAAUCCUCUACUUUUACAAAUUCUAUCAAUUUGAUCCUUAAACACAUAUAAUAAAAUACAAAUAUAAUUAAAUAAUUAUGAAAAAGUAUAAAUGUAAUAUUAUUUACAUUAUUUUGUAUCAACACAUACUCUGUAUCUAAUACUUACACCUGAGUCCAAAUAACAUGAUCCUAAACAAUAUUAUUAGAUUAUUGACUUGUGCUUUCAGGAAUCAAAGAACGAAAAAGAAAAAAGCAAAAACAACAUACAGUGACCGAAGAACACAAAUAACCACACAAUGAAUGACGACAGACUCUACUAAAUUUAACUUGCAAAAAUAAGAACUUUAAUUAAAUUCUUUGCUUUUAAGAGAUUAGUGUGUCGUUAAGCUAGUUAUGAAGCUUGCUAAGGAAUGUAAUUUUGAGGAGGUUAAGGUUAACAGUUCAGUAAGUCUAGAUGCUGAGAAAGCUAAAGUCACCAUGUUAACAAAAAAGUUUGCAGAAGCUUCAAUCAUUCUUAGUUUCGUGCCUAUAAAUUUCGUAUUUAAUAAGGUGCCUUAAAAAUUUUGCAUUGAUUAUAUAUAAUAAUAUUAUAAUUUUCCUUAAAAUAUAUACAAAUAAUAUUAUAUAUUUUAUUUUUCCAUAAUUAUAUAAAAAUUAUUUAAUUAUAUUUAUAUGUAUUUAAGGAUCAAAUUGAUAAAAUAUGUAAAUAUAAAAAACUAAAUGUAUCAUUAUCCAAUUAAAAAAGACUAUAUCUUCACUUUGUUGACCAAACAUAAAUUUUUCUUCACUACCCCAAAUUUCCAGCUUAAAUUUUCCGCAGAAAAGCUAUAGAUUUGUCAAACUUAAUAGAGAAAUUGUUCACGCGAAUAAUUCAUAUGUAUUUCAUGAUAUUUUAAAAUUAUUUUAUUUUAUAUCGAAAUGAUAUCAUAAUAUUAUUUUAUUUUAUAUUUCACAUAUUUAACGAAAUAAAAUAAAAUUAUAAUCAAUUGAAUGUUUCUUUUUGGGAAAUUCUAAUUAAUUGCUUUAAAAUUUUGACAUGUCGAUAUUUAUUAUAUAUACUAUAGUAAUAUGAGAUUAUAAUAAAAAGAAAUAAAUAAUUAUGCUCACGUUACAUUUUUUAUUUGAAAGACAUAUUUACAAUUUGAGAAAUUUACUCUUUUAUUCCUUGUCUUUUAAUUUUUUAAGUCAGUCCAUACAUUUUUUUAAAAUUUUUUUCUUUAUAAUUUUUUAUUUGUUCAAUAUAUAAUUGAUUUUAAAUAAAUUAUUUAUUUAUUUUAAUAUACCUUACUUAUUGAAUUAAAUUUAAUUUUAUCAUAUUAAAAUUAAUGAAUAUUAAUUUGUUAAUUUUAAAAUAUCAUUUUAAAAAAAGAAACAUAUUAAGAAUAUUUAUCAAAUUAAAUUUUUAUUUUUCAAAUAUAAUAAGAGUUAAUCACAUUAAUUGAUUAAAUUAGAAAAAAAGAGAUAAAUAUAAAAUUACAAAUAUUGAAUAGGACAUUAAAGUAAAUUAAUUUUUAAGAAUAUAUAUAAUAAAUAAUAGGUAAGAAAUUAUUAAUAAUAUUAUUUAAAUUAUAAUAUAUUAAUAUUAAUAUUUAAACUAUGAUGAUUUUUUUGUAUUAAUUUAAUAUUACAUAUUUUUAAAUUUUAAAUAAUUAUAAUAUAACUAAUUCUAAAAUAAGUAGAUAUUUGCCUUUGUUGAUAAAGAGUACAACAAGAGAAGAAAAUAAGGCAAAACUAGGAGCAAUGAAGGCUAGUUCACCUGUAAAGAUCGAGAGCUAGAAUAAGGACAAGAAGACAGACCGAUUAAGAGGAUAAAUGCUUAAAGUAACUCCAGGGUGCCUCAGUCUAUAGUUUUUUAAGGUACUUAUAGAAAAUAUCCCCUUGUCUGCUGGUAUGAUAUGACUAAAUAAGCGUUCAAUUUCGUUAAAUGUGUAAUGGAUAACCAUAGGCACAUUUAUAAGAUUCUAUUAAUAUGAAGUAGUCAAGCUUAAAUAAACUGUUUAUUUUCUUGAAAAUAUGUUCAAAUUAGGAUAGUGUUUUCUUUUAAGCUUGGAUGACCAAUUCAGAAUUAACCAUGCUAUGCCCACACUUUGUUUUAGUUGAAUAUUGAUGAGUCUUUGUCCUAUAUGGUUGCUUAGAAGACUUAAAAUGGUAUAUUUGUGUAAAGAUAACGAUGAAUCAGUCAUCAUCAACCUGUUUGUUAUAUUACUUAAUUUGUCAAUAAAAUUGAAUUGUAGCUGGGUUAUGAUUGGAUGGGUUUUCUCUUUCUUUGGGACAUAAAUUUCAGUCACUGUGCAUUAUGGGAUAAGAUACCUGUUGAUUAUAUUGCCUAAAUUGUACGAAAUUGAAUUGUUGUUGGCUUAUGAUUGGAUGGGUUUUUCUCAUUGGGAGGUAAUUUUCAGUCGCUGUUAUAACAGAAUUUUGCUUCUUACACCUGGCACACACUUACAUGCUCUUUUUGCAUUUCAUGAAAAAGUUAAAUUAUCUAAUUAAAUUGAUAAAAUAUGUAAAUAUAAAACAUUAAAUGUGUCAUUAUCCAAUUAAAAAAAAGACUAUAUCUUCCCUACCCCAAAUUUCCAGCUUAAAUUUUCCGCCGUUGUCAAAACUUAAUAGAGAAAUUGUUCAGGCGAAUAAUUUAUAUGUAUUUCAUGAUAUUCUGAAAUUAUUUUAUUUUAUAUUGAAAUAGUAUCAUAAUAUUAUUUUAUCUUAUAUUUCACGUAUUUAACGAAAUAAAAUAAAAUUAUAGUCAAUUGAAUGGGGAAGUUCUAAUUAAUUGAUUUAAAAUUUUAACAUGUCGAUAUUUAAUAUAUGUACUAUAAUAAUAUGAGAUUACAAUAAAGAUAAAUAAAUAAUUAUGCUCUCGUUACAGUUUUUUUGACACACAACAUUUACGAUUUGAGAAAUUUACUCUUUUCUUCUUCGCCUUUUAAUUUUGUAAGUCAUUCCAUACAUUUUUUUAUUUUUUUCUUUAUAAUUUUUUAUUUGUUAAAUAUAUAAUUGAUUUUAAUAAAUUAUUUAUUUUAAUACCUUACUUAAUUGAAUUAAAUUUUAAUGUUAUCAUAUUAAAAUUAAUGAAUAUUAAUUUGUUAAGUUUAAAAUAUUAUUUUAAAAAAAUAAACAUAUUAAGAAUAUUUAUUAAAUUAAAUUUUUAUUUUUCAAAUAUAAUAAGAGUUAAUUAUAUUAAUUGAUUAAAUUAGAAAAAAAAGAUAAAUAUAAAAUAACAAAUAUUGAAUAUUAACAAUUUUGACAUUAAAGUAAAUUAAUUUUUAACAAUAUAUAUAAUAAAUAAUAGGUAAGAAAUUAUUAAUAAUAUUAUUUAAAUUAUAAUAUAUUAAUAUUAAUAUUCAAACUAUGAUGAAUUUUUGUAUUAUUUUAAUAUUAAAUAUUUUUAAAACCUAAAUAAUUGCAAUAUAAUUAAUUCUAAAAUAAGUAGAUAUUUGCCUUUGUUGAUAUAGAUCGAGAGCUAAGUUAAUAAGUGAUGUAUUUGCACUUUUGAUAAUGUUAGUGGCUGAUUUGUUAUUUUUCGAAAGUUGUGUGACUGAAUUGAAACUUGAGUGACUGUUUUGUCAACUACCCCCAAGUUGAGUAACUGCUGAUGUAAUUUACCAAUAAAUUUAUAAUUACUUAUGGUUUUAUAUUCAAAUUUAAUCUUUUCGUUAAUUUUAAUUUACAAAGGUGAAAAUUGGAAUAUUUUCUCAGUUCUGCCCUCUAUUAUUAUGGAUUCUUCUUUUAUAAGCAUCCUUUUUCAUAGCUCCAUGCAUUUAGGAACAUAGGAUCAUUCCUGCAAAUAAAAGAUGGUAGGUGACUAUUCUUUUAAUAAAAACAUUUUUUCUUAAAGCAUUGAUAGAUAGAAUUAUCUGUAUUCAAUCUCUUUGGUGGUGUACGAAAAGGAUAUGAUUGUCUUGGGUAAGUCAAGGUUUUUGUAAUUUGUACGAAUGCGUGGAUCGACAAGGAAUCUCUCUUUCUAUAUUUGUAUUCCUCCCAUUUUCUUAGGCAUGCCAGCUCUGUUUUGUUCUACUCCUAUGAUGUUAACACUUGGAUUUAAAGAUUUAGUUUUUUACUACUUUUAACUGAUAUUAAAACUGAAAAAAAAUUCAGGCUUCAGUUUUGCUUUUGUUCAUUGAUGAGGUUUUUAGAGGCUAUGGGUAUAUUAAGCAAAGAAAAAAAAUGGUGUUAAUAAAAAAAAUAAAAAUUAUAAAAUAAUUAAGAAAUUAAAUAAAAACAGGAAAAAAUUAGUGAAGUUAUCGUAAAGGUAGAAUGGGAAGGCGGUGUUGGUGAAUGUGGUAUGAUGAGUCGCAGUUGGUUGGAUGGUGUUUUUCAUGCGUUGAGCCAUUAUAUUGGGUUGGUUUUCACACUUUCUUCUAUUUAAUCAUGAAUUUUUAAAGAAUGGCCACCUUUUUCGACCAUUAAUUUCACACUAGAAAAGUCAUUUGAAGGCUGCAAUGCCAGCACCAUUAUUCACGUUUGGGCGAAACAUUGAAUUUUUUUCAUCCCUCCAUUGCUUCCACCCUCUAUCCUUUUCUACUUCUUGUAUAUUUGAAAUCAAAUUCUUAAUUUUAAUAAUAUAUAAAUCAUAAAUAAAUAUUUAAAUUUCAAAUUCUUCCACCCUCCAUUCUUAUAAUAAUGUUUUGCACAUCACUCUUGAGGUUCGAAUUUACACUACACCAAAAAUGAUAAACAUGACAAAAACACCUGUAUACAAGCCCAAUUUCACCCGGGCCCAAUACAUGCAAACAAAUAAAUAUACCAACAGUCCAUGACCCAUUACAUAUCAAGCCCAAUUAAACCUAAAUCCCAAAAGCCCAUACCAACAAAACAAAACAGCAACCUAAUUCAACCCAAUAACCUAGCCCAAAACAGCCCAACAGACCCAAGCCCAAGUGCCAAAAGUUAGACUAGGGUUUCAGAGACUGAAACCCUAGUGCCGCAUGCUCUGACCCUUGGCCUAGCCCGGCGCCGCCUCCAUCAGCGGCAGCGCAAGUGGCACACCCCACUUGCACCUGCCCUCUGUCACCGCGGCACCUACUCCACUUGCAAGAGAAACAAGAACACGCUUACAUGUUCUUUUUGCAUUUCAUGAAAAAGGUUAAAUUUUAGUUUUGAUCCUUUUAAUAUGUUUAAACUUAUAACAUAUAUAUAACAAGAAGUUAAAAGGACCUUUCUUGUGACACGUGGCACCACUUACAUGUUCCCUUUUUCUUUUCUUUUCAUAAAAAAAGGUUAAAAUUCAGUUUUGGUCCUUUUAAUAUGUUUAAACUUAAAAUUUAGGUCCAAAGGACCUUCCUUCUAACACGUGGCACACACUUAUGUCACGGGGCUAGACCUUUCAUCUCGCAAUUCGUGCGGCCUUAGGUGAUCCGUUCGUCCAAACUCGCCCAAGUCAGCCUUAACCCGUGUAAGGAUUCUUUUAGAACUCCUCCAAGGUACCAAAUUGAAGAGCGGAAGCGAUUUAUGCCAAAGGAAGAACAACAAAGAACAACAGAAAGAACGCGCGCAAAGUGUUUGAGUAAAUGCUCUCUGUUCUCUUAUUCACAAAGAAUAAUGAAACAAUGAAUGGAGUGAGUACAACUAAGGGGGAGACUCUCUAUUUAUAGUUGAGCUCCCCCAAAACCAACGGUCAAGAUACAUUUACAUCGACGGAUGAGAUUAACCAUAUCCCUUAAUUUUAGGGAUUUACAAGAUAAGCCUUAUCUAAUCUAAUCUUCUAAGAUUAGUUACCAUAUUAGCCUAAGUUGCCAUCUCUUCAUUAUCGGGCCUACCAGGCUUCAAUUUGACAGGCUUGUCCAAUAGCUCUUUGAAUCGGGCUAGUUCUUGUGUGCCAAAUGAUCCCCAUCUGAGCAAUAGACCUCCAUUGGAUGCAUUUUGUGCGAUGGUCACGGGCUUUGAACUGCGGCCUGUGACAUUCUCCCCCACCCAUUCUCGCAACGUCCUCGUUGUAACUUCCGAAUGGCACUGACUGGAUUCGCAUCGGUCUCGUCUUAACGCCUUAGCCUUCCCCUUCCUUCGGGACUUUUGGCUCGGCUUACAUCGCUUCUUAACUCGAACCGUCCUACUCGUUUGUACAUCUCGAUGACAAGAAGUUAUGUCACUCUCUUGUCCACAUUCUAACUUGACUCGAACAGAAUCCUCUUGAUUCACCACACUUGGCUUCACUUUGCCCACAAUCUCUCGACCUCUUUGCUCAAGAACUUCGAAAGGGCCCCUAAGUUCUUGCCAAGUCAACAAGUUAGAAUGCAAAACACUAUCACAGUGUUCGAAAUGUACCUUUGCAUUUACUCUGGUCAACUGUCGCACAUGCAUCACUUCUUUUCCCUUAAAGUCUAAUGCACCACCCACUUCUCCCAUAGGUGGAUGCCUUGUAGAGGAUUCGGCCAACUCCGACGCUUCACUCAACUUGAGCCUCAUUGGUCCCAGCUUCACUGUUUUCAUCGCAACUCUUUCCUCUAAGUCCGAUGACAAACUCACCUCUUCCUUGGGUGGAAGCCCCUCCGAUGACUCACGAAGCUCAGACGUUGCCUUUCUUUUGACUUCGGCUUGCUUUGGACAGUUCCACAACUCAUGCGGACCACGGCACAAUAAGCACUUUACUCGCUUCUUUUCGCUCCUCUUUGCCCUCUUGGCUUCGACUUUUCCCUUGCUCGAACCAAGCUUCUUGGGCUCCUUGUCUACUCCAUCGUUCCUCUUGAUGACAGACUUUCUCGGACACUUCCGCAACCUAUGCGGACCAUGACAUAAGAAGCACUCCACUGGCUUCUUCUCGCUUUCAGCCUCCUUGGCUUCGACACCCCUUGUGCUCGAACCAAGUACCAAGGCCUUACCCACCGACUUCUCCUUAAGCGCGAAUUUCUUCAGACAUUUCUUCAACAUGUGUGGACCGUCGCAAAGAAAGCAUUUCAACUUGUCCCUUUUCCUCUUGGGUUUCUUCUUCCCAACUUGUGGUUUCCCAUUACCACCAUUGUCGCCAUUGCCAUUGACAUCAACAAUAUCUUCCUUGUGAUCCAUUUCACAUACGCCCCUUUCCUCAGACUUGGAAGCUUGUCUUUCUCUAAACCAAGCUUGAUCACGGACUCAACUACCGUCAUGGCUUCCGACAGCUUUUGGACACCUCUUUGUUCCACCUCUUGUCUGACCCACGGCUUCAAUCCAUUCUGAAAAGCAAGCAAUGCCUCUCUUUCGGUCGCCUCUGAAACUUGGAGCAUGAGUUCCUUGAACUCUUGAACAUACUCCCCCACUGUGCCCCGUUGCGUUAUCCCUUACAACUUUGCCCGAGCUUCUUCUUCGGUAAAUUCUGGGUAAAACUGUCCCUUCAAUUCGCAUUGGAACUCUUGCCACGUCCCUAUCUCACCUUGUCUUUUAUCUGUGGUCCUACCUCACCACCAUAAAAGCACAAUGUCAGUAAGAAACAUUGAAGCAGUGUUUACCUUAACCGUAUCAUCCAUGAUGCCUUUGGCACGGAAGUAGUUUUCCAUCCUCCUCAAGAAAUUGUCCACAUCGCAUGCAGACCUUGUCCCCACAAACUCUUUCGGCUUCGGGACAUCCUCGUUACUGAGUGCUGCAUUUGCCACUCCUUUCCCCACAGCUGCUCGACACAAGGCCAGCUCUCCCUCGAGCUCCUCUAUUCUUGUGGUCAAAGCUCUCGUCGUGGCCAUUGUUUCCUCUUUCAAAGCCAUCAUCAUGGCCUCGAGAGCAUCAUUCCUUUCCGACAGCUUAUCCCUGUAUGAAUUAAACAACUCGUUUACCUUAUCCAUGGUGGAACCAAUAGACAUCUUUACAUAGUCUCUCGACUGCUCCUUCCAGUUUGCUAUGCGAUCCUCGACCCCAUUGAGUGCCUCCUUUACAUCCUCCAUGGAUCCCUCGAGUUUACCUACACGUUCCUCUACUGCCGAUAAUGUCUCCCUCAAAAACUUCCUCGCUCACCUUUGUUCAAACUCUUCUUUCGACAUCCCAACGGUGCCUUCGAACCAAUAACUCAAAUAUCACUUGGUUCGAACCAACAGCUCGGAUACCACUUGUCACGGGGCUAGACCUUUCAUCUCGCAAUCCGUGUAACCUUAGGCGAUCCGAUCAUCCAAACUCGCCCAAGUCAGCCUUAACACUUGUGAGGAUUCUUUUAGAACUCCUCCAAGGCACCAAAUUGAAUAGCGGAAGCGAUUUAUGCCAAAAGAAGAACAACAAAGAACAACAGAAAGAACGCUCGCAAAGUGUUUGAGUAAAUGCUCUCUAUUCUUUUAUUCACAAAGAAUAAUGAAACAAUGAAUGGAGUGAGUACAACUGAGGGGAAGGCUCUCUAUUUAUAGUUGAGCUCCCCCAAAACCAACGGUCAAGAUACAUUUAUAUCGACGGAUGAGAUUAACCAUAUCCCUUAAUUUUAGGGAUUUACAAGAUAAGCCUUAUCUAAUCUAAUCUUCUAAGAUUAGUUACCAUAUUAGCCUAAGUUGCCAUCUCUUCAUUAUCGGGCCAACCAGGUUUAAUCUGACAGGCUUGUCCAAUAGCUCUUUGAAUCGGGUCAAUUCUUGUGGGCCAAAUGAUCUCUAUCUGAGCAAUAGACCUCCAUUGGAUGCAUUUGGUGCGAUGGUCACGGGCUUUGAACUGCGGCCCGUGACACUUACAUGUUCUCUUUCUUUUUUAUUGCAUUUCAUAAAAAGGCUAAGUUUCAGUUUGGUCCUUUUAAUAUGUUUAAAUUUAAAACUUAAUUCAUAUAUUUUAAUUCUUAACAUAAUUUUAUCAUUAUAUUUUUAUAUUAUUAAUUUAUACUUUUUUUUCAUUUUUUAAAUUAUAAUAUAAUGGUCAAAUUUUAAUUUUGACAUCUAUGUUAUGUUGAAACUUAAGAUUUAAUCUAUAUACUUUACUUUUUAUUUAAUUUGAUUCUCUUACUUUUAUAAUGUGGUUAUUUAGUCUAAAUAGUUAAUGUUGUUAACUAUUUCAAUCAAAAUGUUAUCGCCAUUUUUUCUUAAGAGCAUUACUCCAACAAAAAUAUUAUUUUAUCAUAAUUAGUUCAAAUGGAUACUUUUUUUAAAAAAAAAUCUUAAUAGCUAUUUUCAAUAUUAUUUUUAUUGUUACAUGACAAAUAAGAUAACUCUUUUUUUUUUUGUUUUGUUUCUAAAUGUUACACUAGUAAGUUUAGUAGAUGAAUUUUAACAGUGCUGACUAUCGCACUAAAUUUUUAAAUUCAAAAAAUAAAAAGAUAAAAUCCUUGAAAAUAAAAGUAGGGGACUGAAUUCCAAAUGUGCGAUAGGUAUAAAGACUUAAAUUUUAUUUUAAUCUUUAAAUUUUUACUUCAUUAUUUGAUAAAACAAUUCAUCAAUCUGACCCAAAGCGUUAAAACCAUCUAGUAGGAAAAAGAGAAGGACCAUGUUGUGUUUGAACAAAGGUGUUGUUGAGAUUGAUCAUUUAAAAACAAAGAUCGCGGUUGUCAAUUCAUCAAUAGGGCAAGAUUUAUUUUUAGAUUUAUAAUGUCUACUUUGUCAAUUUCGUUCUUGCCUUAUCGCCCUCUUUAACACAAUAACAUCUUCAUUAUUGAAAUACAAUUAAACACAAUCAUACAAUACAUCAUCAGAGCAUACUUCCAAUAAAUUAUACAAGCUCGAAAUGUCAUUUAUUCUUGCAAAAAAGGGAAAGCAUGAAUAAGUAUCGAGUACUAUGAUGACAUAAAGCCAAUUCACUUUACUUCUUUCAUGGCUACCUCCAAUAAUUGUAACAUCAACCAUAAUAUCCUUUGUGGUGCAUCUUUUAGUGAGAGGAGGUCCGUAAAGAUGAUUGUCCAUGUAAGAAAAGUUUUUAAAGCUUUGAAGUUGAGUGCUUGUCGAGAUUUGUCCUGUUGUAGAUCACGUUGAAUAGAUUUUAGAAAUUCAAAUUGGAGAAAUUUGGAGGGAUUUCAUCGUUGAUUAAUCGACAAAUCAAGAGAUUCCAUUAACUUCAUGUUGCCAAUGUUGUUUGGUAUAUUUCUUAUUAGGAGAUUCCUUGACAAAUUUAAUGGUAGUAGCCCAACGAGAGUUCCAAUUUCUUUGGAGAUCUCUCUUGUGACAUUGUUAGCUGAAAUGUCUAUGCUGCUAACAAGUCUUGGUGUGGUACUCUAUUCAUCUUCUCAUCCUUUCAACACCAAUAGUGCACUCAAAUGUAUUUAUGUCCCAUUUUGAUAAUUCAAAUAUAGAAAUAAUUUCGUUAUAACAAGAUACGAACCGAGCAACAACUUUCACAACAAAAAUAAAAUUUAAAUUAGUACCUAACUGAAAGUACAUAAAUUUUAAUUCAUAAAAUAUUAUAUAUUAAAAUAGAUAGAGAUUGUAUAUUUAUUUUCUAUUGAUAUUAAGAUUUAUAUUUUAUGUUAUGCUUUUAUUUAUAUUUUAAUUUUAAUUUUAAUUUUAAAUUUUAUAUUAAUAUAAUAUAGUAAAAAUUAUUUUAAUCAUAUUUCAACAAAAAUUAUCAAAUUAGAUUAUCAUAUUAUAAUUUAAUAAUAGCAUGAGAGGUCAAAAGUAGUACAUAUAAAAGAACAAAGAAAAGAAAACCUAACCAACAUCACUAAAUAUAAACACGUCCUUACAUUUUCAUAAUCUGCGUAUGCACAAUAUCUUUCCUAUUGUUUUAAUCACUACAAUAUACGUAUAAAGGUUUAUAUUAUACUUUAGUUAAAUUACACCCAUAUUCACUUUAAAAUAUGGUUUAUCAUAUUUUGAUCAUUUUAAAUUGUUUUCAAUUUAAUCACUCUAAUUAAGAUAAUUGUUCGAAUUAAUCAUGACAUUAAAAAUUCUAUUAAUUCAAUAAAAAUUGUUAAUUUGACAUAUUAAUCAAUUGAAUGUUUCAUAGGUGACAUAUUAAGCAUGAUAAGGAACAUCUAGGGUUGGUUCUACUUUGUUCGUUUCCCCCGUCUUAUUCAACCUUUAGAGACACGGUUUUAUAUUGCCGCGAGUCUCUCACAGUUGAUGAGGCUUAUGAUUCUUUGACAUCGUAUGAUAAAAUGAAACAUCUUAUGGUUAAACCCGACUCUCAGGGAAAGGGUCUCAUGAUUCGUGAGAGACAAACCGGAAUAUUGAUGAUGAGUGUGGAAGGACACAAAAAUGGAAUCCUCGUGGCAAAUUGAAGGGUAGAUCAAAGUAUUCAAAUAGAGGUAAAACUUGUAACUUCUGUAAGAAGAAAGGGCACAUUAAAUCUGAGUGCUAUAAGCUGCAGAACAAGAUCAAAAGGGAGGCUACAAAUCAAAAGGGAAAACAACUAGAAAAAUUUGGUGAAGCUGAUGUUGUAGAAGACUACAGUGAUGGUGAACUUCUAGUCGCUUCUGUGAACAAUUCUAAAGUGAAUGAGGAGUGGAUCCUUGAUUCGAGCUGCACCUUCUACAUGAGUCCCAAUCAGGAUUUGUUUACAACUUAUGAAACAGUGUCUGAAGGUGUUGUUUUGAUGGGAAAUAAUGUUUCAUGUAAAAUCACAGGUGUUGGAACGAUUAAAGUAAAUAUGUUUGACGGAGUUGUUAGAACACUUAGUGACGUGUGACAUGUUCUAGAAUUGAAGAGAAUUUUAAUUUCAUUGAGUACUCUUGAUUCAAAAAGGUACAGGUACACAGUUGAAAGUGAGGUUUUGAAUAUUUUCAAAGGUUCCCUCGUUGUGAUGAAAGGGUAGAGAAAGACUGUCAAGUUAUAUGUUUUGCAAGGUUCUACUGUUACUAGUGAUGCAGCUGUCGCUUCCUCUUCCUUGUCAAAUGAUGAUCUUACUAGACUUUGGCAUAUGCACCUAGGGUAUAUGAGUUAUUCAAAUCGGUUUUCUUUAUGUUGAAAGUGGGGUUUCAUCAAAAUUAAGAAUUAAUGUUUUCAUGUAUGAUGUAACCUCCACAAUCCGACAGUAACGUCUAAGCUUGAGUGGAUACCUUGGGAAACUAAAAUAAAUUUAAGAAAACUAUAAUUAAAUUUUUAUCUAUUUUUAUUUUUAAAUUAUAAAAAAUUUGUUGAAAUGUUAUUAAAUAAUUGAAAAGGGAUAAUGGAUAAUGUAGUGGGAAAUAUCUAUAAACUAAUUUCUCCAACAAAACAUAUUCAUACAUUAUCAUAACACAAUUUGAUCCAAUCUUCGGUAAAUUAUGCCAACCUAAAAUGUCAUUGCAAAAGGGAAAACAAGAAUAAGUAAAGAAUAAUAAAUCUAAACUCGGAGUUUAGUUCAAUUGAUUCAUGUAAUCCCUUUUAAAAUGUGACAUUUAAUAGAUUUGAGAUCGAAAGCUUAUAUAAUCAAUACAAACACACAAACGUUAAUUAUACAUGUUUUUCUUUUUCAUCAAACUACAUACCCAUAGUAGCCCAAUACACAAACAGCUUUCGACCAACAUGGUCCACCAAGAUCUGAUGAAAAACAAGGGAGCCACUACACCCCAAAAUCCCAUUAUAAAGCCAAGAACUAUGUUGAUAUAUAUAAAGCCAAUUCACUUUACUUCCUUCACUGCUACUUCCAUUAUUUGCAGCAUUAGUUGGAAUACCUUUUGUGUUGCAAUUUUUAGUGAGAGGAGAUCCGCAAAGAUGAUUGCCCAUGUAAGAAAAGUUUUCAAAGCUUUGAAGCUGAGUGCUUAUUGAGAUUUGUCCUGUCAAUUUAUUGUAGGCUUAUGAUUGGAUGGGUUUUUCUCUUUGGGAGGUAAUAAGAUAUGUAUAUAACAUGAUCUUGCUUCUUACACCUGGCACAUACUUUCAUGUUCUCUUUCUUUUCUUCCCAUUUCAUAGAAAGGUUAAAUCUCAGUUUUGGUCCUUUUUAAUAUGUUUAAACUUAAAAUUUAAGUUUAAAGAGCCUUUGUUUUUUACGUGGCACACACUUACAUGUCUUUUUUUGCAUUUCAUGAAAAAGGUUAAAUUUUAGUUUUGGUCCUUUUAAUAUGUUUAAAUUUAUACCAUAUAUGUAAAAAGAUCUGGAAAGGACCUUCCUUGUGACAUGUGGCACACACUUACAUGUUCUCUUUUUUCAUUUCAUAAAACAGGUUAAAAUUCAGUUUUGGUCCUAUUAAUAUGUGUAAAUUUAAAAUUUAGGUCCAAAGGACCUUCCUUUUGACACGUGCCACACACUUACAUGUUCUCAUCUUUUUCUGUAGCAUUUCAUGAAAAAGGCUAAAUUUCAGUUGGUACUUUUAAUAUGUUUAAAUUUAAAAUUUAAUUCAUAUACUUUAAUUUUUAACAUUGAUCAUUAUAUUUUUAAUAUUAUUAAUUAAUCCACUUGACAUGCUUUUCUUUUUUUUUUUGCAAUUUUUAUAUUACAAUAUAAUGGUCAAAAUUCAAUUUUGACCUCUAUAUUAUGUUGAAACUUAAGAUUGAAUCUAUAUACUUUAAUUUUUUAUGUAAUUUGAUUUAUGUACUUUUAUAAUGUCGUUAUUUAGUCUAAAUGGUUAACAUUGUUAACUAUUUUAAUCAAAAUGUUAAUAUCAUUUUUUUCUCAAGAACACUACUCCAACAAAAAUAUUAUUUUAUCAUAAUGAGUUCGAAUGGGUGCUUUUAAGAGAAAUCUUAAUUGAUAUUUUUAAUAUUAUUUUUAUUGUUACAUGACUAUCAAGAGAAUAUUUUUUUUUUAAAUGUCAUACCAUUGAAUGACUACAAAAAUUUUAACAAUGAUCACUACUAUGCCUGAAUUUUUAAAUUCAGAAAAUAAAGAGACCAAAUCCCUGAAAAUAAAAGUCAUAGAUCAUCUUAGAGCAUACUUUCAAUAAAUUAUACAAGCUCGAAAUGUCAUUUAUUCUUGUAAAAAGGAAAAGCAUGAAUCAAGUAUAGAGUACUAUGAUGAAAUAAAGCCAAUUCACUUUACUUCCUUCUUGGCUACCUCCAUUAAUUGUAACAUCAACCAUAAAACCCUUUGUGGUGCAUCUUUUAAUGAAUGAGAGGAGGUAUGAUUGUCCGUGUAAGAAAAUUUUUCAAAGUUUUGAAGUUGAGUGCUUGUUGGGAUUUAUCUUAUCAAAUUGUUGUAGGUCACGAUGAAAAGAUUCAAGAAAUUCAAAUUAGAGAAAUUUAGAGGGAUUUCACCGUUGAUUCAUCGAUAAGUCAAGAGAUUCCAUUGACUCCAUGUUGCCAAUGUUGUUUGGUGUAAUUCCUGUUAGGAGAUUCCUUGACAAAUUUAUUGAUAGUAGCCCAACGAGAGCUUCAAUUUCUUUGAAGAUCUCUCUUGUGAGACUAUUAGCUGAAAUGUCUAUGCUGGCAACAAGUCGUGGUGUGGUACUAUAUUCAUCUUCUCAUCCUUUCACCACCAAUAAUGCACUCAAAUGUAGGAGGAAAUCAGAUAAAAUAGCAGGACCACCACGCAGCAUCAUGCUUAAUUAAUUCUAUGAGGAUAAAUGACAUUAAUAAUUUUUAUUUAAGAAAAAAAGAUAAAUGGGGAUCCUUAUAAAAAAAUUUAGACAAAAAAUAAAAUAAAAAUAUAAACAAUUAAAAUAUUUAUUUACCAGUAAUUAUUCUUUUUAACUAAUCAAAAAACUUUAAAAAUGUCAAUUAAUUUAAAAUAUAAAUAAUCCACAUGAAAAAAUUGGGUUGUUGACGUGAGUUAAGAGUCUAAGACCUUAUAAUAUAUAAUAUAUGAUAUAUUAAAAUUUUAAGAAUAUUAUAUUAUAUUAUAUUUCAAAUUCAUUAUUUUUAAAUUUUGUAAAAUUAAGUUAAGAAUUAAUUACAAUACGGCUGUAUAAGGGACUUGAAUGCAUAAGGUGAAUACUAGACUGAUGCAAAAUCCAGAUUUCAUAAAUAAUUCCAAGAGGAACAAUAACUAAAACUCUUCAACGUUGAGAAUAGAUAUCUUUCUUGCCACCAUUGUUUAUUGGUAAAAUAACUAAACUCUUUUAAAGCCAUUUACAAGUAAUAAAUCCAAUCAACUCAAACUACCUUAAUUAGUUUCAAUAAGCUUCAAACGAACCAUGAAGACAAAUAUAAAUUUUGUGUCAAUAUUUGUACUCCAAACUGAUACGAAAUAGUAUUUGUACUAUUUUGGUCACUCUAAUUUUUUUUUCAAUUUAAUUAUUUUUAUUAAAAUAAUUGUUCAAAUUAUUCACUUUCAUUAGAAAUUUCGUUAAUCCACUAACACCAGCUACCGUACCUAUUAUCCAAAGAGGAAUCCUUCCAGUAGUAUCGGCCAUUUAUCCUGAUUCCUUCCGCAUUUCAUCAAGUGGUCAUGCUAAAGACAUAAACAAUCAUAGAUAAUUAUGAGAUACAAUCCUUCCGAAUGGAAUAAGAGAAUUCCUACUAUUAUUUAGUAUUCAACUACUCUCUUUUUUCUUAAUUGAAGAAAUAAUUGGAAAAUAAAAUAGCAAGUACAAAAAUGAGUAAUAACCCCCAGUAGAGACUGGUACGAUUCAAUUCAACAUUUUGUUCGUUCGGGUUUGAUUGUGUCAUAGCUCUAUAAUUAAUUCGAAUUAGGUUUAUCGUUGGAUGAACUGCAUUGCUGAUAUUGACCCCAAAAAAGAAACGGUAGGUACAGCUAGUCCGUGAACAGGCAACCAUCGCAUUAUAAAAACUGGAUUGGUUCGAUCUAUGGUCAUUGGGUCCUCCUAAAAUGAUCUACUAAAUUCAUCGAGUUGUUCCAAAGAAUCAAAACUGCCAUUUAUUAAUGGAAUUCCUUGUCGGCUCUCUGUAAAAUACUCGUUUGGACGAGGACUUCCAAACACAUCAUAAGCUAAACCUGUGCUGACGAAUAACCAACUAAAUAAUGACAUAUGACAUUUUUUUUAACUUUUGAAAAAAAAGCUUACAAACCUCUCUAUAAUUAAUUUAAAAUAAUUUUUCCUUUUCUAUUCUCUCUAUAACUCAAAAUGGAGAAACCAAAAUAGGGCAUCUCAAAGCUACCUGUCUUUCACUAUUUUCUCAACAAUGAAUCAAUGACAACAAUCAACGAUAACCCACCAUACAUCCACAAAUGAUAAAAGAAGAAUGAACAUAUAUAAAAACCCCAAUCAAAAUCUACACGAAUCUAACGAUCAUCAAGUAUUGACCCACUAACAUAAUUGACAACAUUCUCUGCAUCUUAGAAAGAGAGAGAGAGCGAGAGAGAGAGAGAGAGUUACAAGACAAAGCAAAAGCUGCAAGGUGUUUUAGACUUCUUGUUAAGGCCCGUGACUAUUUUCUUGAUUUCACCGGCUCUAGAGAAAAGAUCAUAAACUUAUUCUUUAGUAGUGUAAAAAGACAUGUUUCCGAUGUAGAUGGUUAUCGAAGUGAGUGCUUACUCGAAUUCCUCUUGCGAACCAUUAAAUCUAUCGUCUUGGUACGCUGAAAGCUUAGCUGGGUCCUAUGAUUUAACACCCCCUAAAAAAAUAGAGAGAAAAUUUAUCAUUUAAUUGAUUUACAUUGAAAGCAAUUAAGAAGCAGAGAAAAUAUCUUGAAAAGAGAAUCCAUUGCCUUCUUCAAAAGCUCCCAAAAAUUUAAAUUGCCUGCACAUAACGAAUUAUAAAGGUUGAAGCUUUUGCCCAUUCCCUUGCCCUAUCCAUGCCAUAGAUCCAUCUUAUUUAUAUAUGUUCACUCUUCUUUAAUUAUUUGUGGAUGUAUGGUGGAUUAUCCUUGAUAGUUGCUGUUGACACCAUUUUUUGUAAAAACGGGGUCGACUUGGAUUUUGAAAACGAAAAUAAAAACGGGAGUCGCCACCAAUCCUUUUUGAUAAGGUGUGAUCGGAUCACCUUGAAAAGUGGUUUUUAAUAAACGAUUUGAUUUUAUCAAAACAAUGAUUUUGGUCCACGAAAUUCAGAAAAAAAAAUGGGUUCGGGAGUCGGUUACGUACGAGAAAGGAUUAGCACCCUCGUAACUCCCAAGAGUUGGUACCUAGUUGAUUAGUUAAUGUCUUAAUGUCGAAGAUUGAAAACUUUAAAGAGAUUUAGAGUACGAUCCUAAAAAAAACUCGAAUGACAUGGAUUGAGAUUUAAGAGGAUAUUUGGCUAUUUGGUCGAAUGAGAAAUCGAAACCCAGCACGUUAGGGCACGUUCUCUCGAAUUUCCAAACGCAAAAUAUUGCCUCACUUUGAAAUUUUGAAAGGAUAUUUGGCUAUUUGGUCGAACGAGAAGUCGAAACCCAGCACAUUAGGGCACGUUUUCUCGAAUUUUCAAAAGCAAAAUAUUGCCUUACUUCGAAGGUUCAAAAAGAUAUUUGGCCAUUUGGUCGAACGAGAAAUCGAAACCCAGCACGUUAGGGCACGUUUUCUCAAAUUUUCCAAACGCAAAAUAUUACCUUACUUCAAAGGUUUAAAAAGAUAUUUAGCUAUUUGGUCGAACGAGAAAUCGAAACCCAGCACGUAGGGCACGUUUUCUCGAAUUUUCCAAACACAAAAAUAUUACCUUAUUUUGAAUUUUUUGAAUUUGAAUGAAUAUUAAUGGAAUAUUUGAAAAUAUAAUGUGCAUUUGAUUACAUUUGAAAAGAAUUCGUUUGAAAACUUUGAAAGGAUCAUGCGUAAGUAAUAACGAUUUUGCAAUAUACACUUGAAGCAACAAUGAAAUAAUAUGCAUAAAAAGUAUACAUGUAGCAUUGACGCUAAGAAAUUCCAAUAUUAACAUGCACGAAUAAAAAUAAUGAUACCAAUGGCAAUAUUACAAUAACAAUAACAAUAGCAACAACGACUAUAAUAAUAAAUCUAAAUUUUGGAAGUAUUAAAAAUGGCAAAAUAAAUAAGUAAUGAAAUGAUAGAGUAAUAAUAAUAACAAGAGUAAAAUACACAUACCAAUAUAUAAAAGAGAAUAAUAAAUAAAAUAUGAACUAAUGUAAGUUGACCAAAAAUUAAAAAUAAAAAAGUAAAUAAUAUUAAAUAAAAUAUUAAAUAAAAUUGAUUUUUAAAUAUAUAUAUAUAAAUAAAAUAAAAUAAAAAAAACUGAGGUUCAAUAGGCCGAGGAUCAGGUUAAAAUCGGGCUAAAAAUUUGGGACCAAAUUCGCAAAUAAGUAAAAAAAGGUGGUUCGGGGCUGAAAUAUAAGGCGCUUAAUAUAUGAGGGACCAACUAGGAAAUAUUACCCGGUCCCAAAGUACGUCGUUUGAACGAGGACUAAAACGAAAAGGAAAGAAAAUUAUAAGGUAAAAUGCAAAUAAAAAAAGGUAAAUAGGUUCAGAUUGAAAGGUUAAUAAAAGCUGGAGGGACCAGGUAAGAAAAUAGCCCAUUAUGUGCUAGAACACGUGAACCUUGGCAGUGUCGGGUCAGGUCUUCGGGUCCCCGUGAAACGACGUCGUUUUGGCUAUUGUUUACUAAAUCCAAAACAACGUCGUAUUGAAUCCCAUAUAAAUAUUAAAGUUUUAAACAAAAAAAACGUAAACUCCAUUUUCAACAAAAAGAAAAUCUGAGGAGAUCUCAGAUUUCUCUCAACCAACCCCUCGGCCGACCAUCGUCGCCGCCAUAGUGCUACAGUGUACAGUGGUUGGCGACAAAAAAAUGGCUUUUUAGCCCUCGUUCCGGAACGCCCUUGGAAGCCCAACCCUCUCGGCCUCAAAAGAAAAUGGAGGACUCUCGACCCACUCGUGGAUCCGAAGGCAACGACGGAGGAGCCCUCCGACAGCGCGGUCACGGGGUGUCCGGUGAGCCCUCCCCUCCUUUUUUAUUUCUUAUUUAUUAUGCAAAAGAGAUAAAAUAAAAUAAAAUAAAACGAACAGAAAACAAUCUAAAAAAAUCACCUUUUAAAAUUGAUUUCUGUUUUUUUAUUAUUCAAAGUUCGUCAAAAGAAGAAAUUACAGUGUUUUUGUUCGGCCUAUAUAGCCGAUUUUUACAACCCCUAUACUUCUACUUUUUUGUCGUUUGCGAUUUGGAUUGUGUUUGUUUGUCAUUUUGUGCUUUGUUUGGUUGUCUGUUGUCUACUACUCUUUGUAGGUGUUCUGGCGCGCAUGGGAAGGUGGCGAUGGGACGCGAUGACGGUGGCGUGCACGAGGGAGGCCGGCAGAACAUGCGUCGCUGGGUCAUGGGCAGAGGCGAGCAUGCGACGCUGGAGGCUUAGGACUAGGGUUUUUGUUGAAAAAAAACAUUAGUUUGUUGGCCUUUGGGCUGUUAUAUUUUGGGCUUGUAAUUAGGGUUUUAUUUGUAUUUGGGCUCGGGUUUGUUGUAAAUGGACUGAGACUAUUAAUUUAUUUAUUUUUGGUUUAAUAUUUGGUCCCUGGGCAGAAAUUGGGCCUUACAGUUGCAACAGGUCCAUUGUUGAGAAACUAGUGAAGGGCAUGUAGCUUUGAGAUGCCCUAUUCUGGUUUCUCCUUUUUGAGUUGCAUAGAGAAGAAAAAUAGGAAAAAUGUCUUUUUGGAUUAAUUAUAGUGUAACGAUUUGAAAGUUAGUAGUAUCGGAAAUGGUAUUUUCGGAACUCUAUUUUCUAUGUUUGAAUUCAUUAAUAUCAUUAUUUAAUAUUUACAAGACUAGUAUGAAGUUUAAUUAAAAAUUGGUUCUUUAAUUUUGUUACUUAGAUAGUUAAGGAAUAAAUAUUUCGACCCUAGAGUCAGUGGUAUUGGAAAAUAAAGUAUAGGGCUUCGUUUCCGUAAACUAAACCUAUGAAUAUUUAUAUUAAAUGAUUACCAAGUUAUAUUAUAAGUGAAUUGAAUUUUGGAUAGCUAAUUUUGUUGAAUUGAUAUUUAAUUAAGGUUAAAGAAUUAAAUUGUAAAAAUGAUAAAAAUUUAAUUGCUAAAAAAUAUUCUUUAGUUAGUACAGGUAAAAGGAACUUAAGUGCAAUUGAACCACUAUGCUAAUAUUGGUGGAUGGUGAUUGAUAGUAUAAAUUUUAAUUAAUUAAAUAAAACAAAAAAUAAAAUAACAUAAAACAGUAAUAAAACAAUUGGGUGAAAAGAAACGGAAAGCAUUACCUUGCCCAAACUUCACCGCCAAUAUUUUCAAAGAAGAAGCAGCUUUCGGCCUUUAGUGGUUUCAAAUUUCAAUUCCAAAAUCGAUUCGUUUAAUUUAGUCUCUCUCUUUUUUUGUAAUUUUUAUAUUUUUAAAAUUGUGGGAGCUUAAUCUAGUUAAUCUAUAUCUAAAUUUGUUAAACUGUUAAAGUUUCAAAAAGUUACCAUUGUUGAGUUAUUGAAGUUUUAGAUGCUAAAUUGAUAGAUUUUAAGCAUAUAGGUGAAAAAAGGACUAAAUUGUGAAAUUAAUUGAAAGUUCGUAAAUUAGGGAGUAAAAUGAAUGAAUUAUAAAAUAGGUUGUAGAAAUGAGUAAUAUGAGAUCUUUAAUGGCUAAUAGUGAAAACUAAUUUCCAUUUGUAAUUGUAGAUUUAAAGUUAUGUUAAUCCCAAUUUUAAAGGCUAAACUGAAGAAAUUGAAAAUUUUUAAGAGGCAUUCGAAUGAUGAAAUUGAAUUGAUAUAUGCACAUAAUAGAAUGAUAUAAGAUGUGUGGAAUUGAUAAAUUGAAUGAAAUAAUUGUCAAGACUUGGAUCAAAUCGGAAAUAAUCGAGAAAAAAACAAAAUUGUUGAAUAGUCCUUAAAGUUUCAACUUGUUUAUUGUUUUAACCAAGUACGUCCAUAAGGUAUGGUUAUAUAUAAUUGUAACAUAUUUUUGAAUUAUGAAAUUGCUUUUGUGUGGUUUUAAUUUGAAUUGUCUACAAUUUAGUACAAAAAGGUGUGAUAUGGAUUAAAUCAUAAAGAAAUGAUAAAUUAAAUAUGGUAAAUUGCAGUUUGAGACAUUUAACUAAUUGAUAGUUGAUUUUGAUUGACCAAAUAGGAUAGGUAUGAAUUUGAUUGAUUACCGAGAUAGAGGGUUAAAUUGAAUAAUUUGAAAAAUAUAUAUGACUUGAAAUUGAAUGUGAUUUAAAUAGAAUUUGAUAUUAUACCACUAUUGAAUUAUUAUUCGUAGCUAAAAAUGACGCAGGAUCGUUGAAUGGGAAAGGGAAGGCCAUAGUCGACGAUUGGUGACAUGAGUUUUAAGUUUAUAUUUUUAUGACCUGAAACUAAUUUUAGUUAAUGCAUAUUUAUGAUAUAUUCUAUUAUAUAGCAUUAAGGUAAGGUAUAUUAAUAGAUAUUGAGUGAAAAUGAUAAGAGUGGAAGUGAAUAUCGAGACUUGGACUAAAUUGAAUAGAAUAGAAGGUAAUUUAAUUAAUUCAUGAAAUUGGAUGUGAAUAGUGAUAGUAUAUAAAAAGAGCAUGUACUUGGUGGAGUCCCUUGUGUUUUGCUAUUUUUAGGAUAUUUGACUUAGAAGCUAAUAAUAAUGCUUAGAAGUAUGUUUGGUAAAAUCGGUAAUGAAAGUUAGUAUAAUUUGAUUAUAUGUUUUAAUAUUGGUAUGGAACUCAAUGGUAUAUUUUGAGCAUAUUGGUAUGGUGAUAGAAAGGUUUUGAAAUGGUUUGUGGUGAUAUAAAUUGGUGUGUAUUUGGUUAAAUAUGAGUAAAUUAUAACUAGGCUCGAAUAUGGUAUGAAAUGUUAUAAUAGUGAUUGGAUUUAGUAGUUAGGUAAAUAUGCUAAUUAGUUUAAAUGAUUAAUGCUUUUGUUACAUGAAGGGAUAUGAGUCUUAUGUGUUUUGGGCAUAAUACGAAGCAUAAAUGAACAUCAAUAUUAAUGACAAAGUUUUGAAAGCUCAAAGGUAAGACUUGAACUUAUGAAUGACUUGGAAUUUAGAUUGGUUGAAUGGUUCAUGUCAUAGAAAUCUUAGUUAUGUAUAAAUGAGUUAAUUGAUAAGUUGUGGUGCCAAAAUAUGACAUAUUAGUUAGUUGGUUAUAAAUGUUUAGGUAUGUUUUAGAAAGUUUUUGUGCAGGUUUUAUUGGGUGCAUAUGGACACUAAGUUAAUGCAAGCUUAGUUGGGCAUGAAAUAGGCAUAAAAUGAAAGAUUUUGACAUUUGGUUCCAGAGUAUUGAUACCCUGGAAAGGUAUCGGUACUUAGCAAUUUAAAUCAGGUCUUUAAUUAAAUAGAAUGCCAAUUUAGUUUUGAUACUAUAAAUUGGUAUUGUGAAAAUAGAAUGUCGAUAAUGGCAAUGUGUUUCAAAGAAAAGAAAGAAAAAUAGAACACACAAAUUUUACAUGGAAACCCUUUCGGGGGGAAAAAAACCACGGCCAGAGGAGAAGAAAUUCACUAUGUCAAAUUUGAAUGAUACAAAAAGAGUAUAGACUACGUCUAUUUAUAGGUUUUUAAAACCAUAUUCUAAUCAAAGUCACAUAGAAGUAAUGCAAUAAGUUUAAAACUCCUUAUUCUAAUAUACAUCAAAUAGAGGAAGUAAACUUCUAUAAAGGUUUCACUUGUGCAACCUAUAUUGGACUACGGGGUAUAGUUGUGACCCUAGUCUAGUGUUUUGCUUAUUGGGGAUCUAGAAUGCGCUGCGGCCUUCGCCUUCAUAGAUCCCUCUAUCUUGCCACUUAUAUUUUUUUUAACAGGAAUUUGGUUCACACAAUUCUAACAAUUUCCACCUUGACAUGAAUUCUCAACUAACAAAUUCUUCAUCACAAAUUUUUAACGAACAAGUUCUCCACAUCUUCCAUGAAACCCCUUUAAGGGUUUAUAUUAAAACAUGUUUUUUUUAAUACUUAAACAAUACAAUAUUAGGGUAAACUAUAAAAAUAAUCGCCCAAUUAGUAACGUAUUUCUGUUUUAGUUACUUAGGUUUAAAAUUUUCUAUUUUAAUUAUUAACGUUAUAUAAAUUUAAUAUUUUGACCACUUCUCUAUUAAAUCACUAACGGUGGCCUUUUUAUUAGCAUAAUAAAAAUUCUAGCCCUCCAAUAUUUAUAAAUUCUAUCAACUUAGUCCUAAAUCUAAAAACUUCAACAAAUUUAGUCUUUAACAUUAUAUGAUCUUCUCCUAAUUGCAUCAAAACACAUAAAUUACACACAAACCACUUUCUUCGCAAAGAACUAAAUAACCUCAAAUUACACAUCAAGCAAAAGGGAUUAUAGUUUUACCCGAUACCACAAACACGCACAGGAUUGAAACAAUAGAGAAGCUAUUGGAAAACAAAAGUUAUGAGCAGGAACAGUUUCGAUGAAUAGAAUUAGGAAGAAGAAAAUUGAAAAGGAAAAUUUUGGGGGGAAAUUGCAAAAGGGACGGCAAAAAAGAAAAGAGUGAGAGUGUGUUGGAGAAGUGGGAGAGAUUUUGGGAGUUUUUUGAGUGAUAAAGCAAGAAAUAAAAAUAUUUUGAGUUACACGAAUAGGAUUCAAACGCAAGAUCAAAAGAGUAUGCUACACCCAUACCACUAAACCAAUAAGUUCAUCGUUAUCAAUAUAUGUGCACAAAUAGUUGUUAAACCAAAUACUCCAAGUGGUUUAGACAAAAUUUAGCAAAAUAUAAAUAAAAAAAUACCCAAACCCAAAAUCUCUUACACACAAGAACAACAUUUAACUACUAAAUUAAAUCAAUUCACUUACCAAUUUCUAACAAUUCAAAAAGUUAAGAUUUUGGGGCAUUACAAUUUAGUUAAGCCCAAUUUACAAUUAAACAAAGAAGUAGUUAUAGCUCCAAUAUUGACCCAAAUUGUUAAAAAUCACUCGCUUAAAUACCACACAAUACAAUCAAUAUACUCUCCAAAUAAUACCUAAAGGAAAGUCACAAAAUAACCAUGAAAAUACAACAAAGUGAUGGACAAAGACACCCAAAAACUAGACUCCAAGUGACACCAGAAGCACGAGUCCAUCUAACAAAAUUUUGAUAAGCUUUAAACUUCUAUUUAAAAGUUAAAAUUAACUCAUUAAUUAUCUUGAGUAUUUAUCCACUAAAAGUGUUCAUAAAUUAGUCUUCCAACUGCUUUGAAACUCUAUCAAAAAAUAAUAAGGCUUUUAUGUUUGUCCAAUCACUCCAAUCAAUUCGUUUGAGAGUCUUUAAAAUCUUAGUUGAACUAUACUUCGUGUUUUGUCAAUCUUAAUGGCCUAUGUCAAUCUUGAUGGCCUAAGUAGAGUAAUAAUUUCGUUAUAAUGGGACAUGGAACGAGCAACAACUUUCCCAACAAAAAUAAAUUUUAUGUUAGUACCUAAAUGAAAUUACAUAAAUUUUAAUUAAUAAAAUAAUAUAUAUUAAAUAGAGAUUGUGUGUUUAUUUUCUAUUGAUAUUAAUAUUUAAAUUUUAUGUCAUAUUUUUGUUCAUAUUUUAAAUUCAAAUUUUAUAUAUUAAUAUAAUAUAAUUUAUUUUAACCCUACUUCAACUAAAAUUGUAAAAAUCACUCCUGGGUAGCACGUGAGGUCGAAAUUAGAUGAUAUAAAACAACAAAGAAAAGAAGCCUAAGAUACGUUUUUAUGUUCAUUAAAUAUGUUGUGUUUAUAUUAUAUUUUGAGUAAAUUGCACUUAAUGUAACUUUAAAAUAAAAUUUUUCCUAUUUUAAUUGUUUUAUUUUUUAAAUUUAAUUAUUUUAAUUAAAAUAAUUAUUUAAAUUAAUCACUAUAAUUAAAAAUUCUGUUAAUCCACUAACGAAUUGUUUAUACAGUAAACAAUCCCUUUCCCUUCUCCAUGUAAUUCAAAAUGAAGAAACCAAGCAUCUCAAAGCUACUUAUCUUUCACCAUGUUUUCAACAAUGAAUAAUGAUAACCCACCAUACAUUCACAAAUAAUAUUAAAGAAUAAUGAACAUAUCUAAAAACCCCAAUCAAAAUCUACACUAAUCUGACGGGGAUCAAGGAUUGUCCCACUAAUGUAUUUUAACAACAUCCUCUGCAUCUUCCCUAGAAUGAUACCUGAUGAAAAUAAAAACCCCAAUAACCAAUUAAAAGUUUUAAAAUAAAUAUGAACAUGAUUUUGGGGAGGGAGAGAGAGAGUUACAAGACAAAGGAAAAGCCUCAAGGUGUUUUAGAGUUCUUGUUAAGGCCAAUAAUUAUUUUCUUGAUUUUACUGGAUGUAGAGAAAAGCUCAUAAAGUACUUGUUCCUCAACAGUGUAAAAAGACAUGUUUCCGACGUAGACGGUUGCUGAAGUGAGGAGUGCUUGCUCGAAUUCCUCUUGCGAACAGUUAAAUCUUCCGUUACGCUGAAAGCUUAGCUGGGUCCUAUGACAAAGCCCCCCAAAAAGAGAGAAAAUUUAUCAUUCAACUAAUUUACAUUGAAAGUAAUUGGGAAGCAAAGAAAAUAUCUUGAACAUAAAAGCCGUUGCCUUCUUCAAAAGCUCCCAAAAACUCGAAUUGCCUGCAAUAUAACGAACUAUAAAGGUUGAAGCUGUUGCCCUUGCCCUAUCGAUGCCAUAGAUCCAUUCUUAUUUAUAUAUGUUCAUUCUUCUUAAAUUAUUUGUGGAUGUAUAGUGGGUUAUCCUUGAUAGUUGUCAUAGAUCUAUUGUUGAGAAACUGGAGAAGGGCAUGUAGCUUUGAGAUGCCCUGUUCUGGUUUUUCUUUUUUUUUUUUUGGACAGAUCUGGUUUCUCCUUUUUUCAGUUACAGAGAGAAGGGGAAAAAAUGUUUUGGAUUAAUUAUACAGAGGUCCCUAAGCUUCUGUCAAAAUUCAAAAUAAAGUAACAUGUUAUCAUUCAAUUGGCCAAUAUGCCACAUUAACAAUAAGGUAGUUGAUUAAUGGAAUUUUUAACAAUAGUGAUUAGUUCAAAUUCUUAUCUUAAUUAAAGUGACUAAAUUAAGAAAAAAAUUCAUAGUGAUCCAAAUAAGACAAAUCCUGUUUUAAAAUGAUAUUAGUUGUAGUUUACGCUUAUACUUUUAUGCAUGCUUAAAAUUAAUAAUAUUUUUAGAGAAAAGAAAUUCAUUAACAAGAAAUUCACAAAACAAAAGCAAACACAAAGAGGAGACAGACUACUAAACCCGAGCCAAUAGGCUCACCCCAUACACCCAAAUCUAAUGUCUGUGAUCCUCAUUCAUAUCAACAUUAUCAACAUAAGACGAUUUCAACAUUUUUCAGAAAAGAUCAAUGUGGUUUGCAUAUAACAAAGUUGCUCACGCAAACGAAUAGGUUGCCUUGCUGACACACCGACGAGUCCAGAAAAAGGACAGACUCUAAUAUUAAUCUUUCAACACCAAACAAUCAAGUAGCAACACACAUGGCUCAAAUGCAUCAAUCAUUCAGGUUUCCUUUUCCCAUCAAACUACAUACUCAUAGUAGCCCAAAACCCAUACAGUUUAUCAUAGAUAUGGUUCAGCUUUCGGUAGUAUUUAAUCCUCCAAGACCUAAUGAAAAACAAGGGAGCCACUACACCCCAAAAUCCCAUUACAAAGCCAAGAACUAUGCUUACAUAAAGCCAAUUCACUUUACUUCCCUCACUGUUUCUUCCAUUAUUUGUAGCAUUGGUUGGAAUGCUUUUUGAGGUGCAAUUCUUAGUGAGAGGAGGUCCGCAAAGAUGAUUGCCCACGUAAGAUAAGUUUUCAAAGCUUUGAAGUUGAGUGCUUGUUGGGAUUUUUCCUGUCAAGUUGUUGUAGGACACAUUGAAGUGAUUCAAGAAAUGCAAAUUGGAGAAACUUGAAGGGAUAUCACCAUUUAGCCGAUUCAUGGACAAAUCAAGAGAUUCCAUCAACUCCAUGUUGCCAAUGUUGUAUGGUAUAUUUCCUGUCAGGAGAUUCCCUGAAAAAUUUAAAGACAAUAGUCCAGCGAGACUACCAAUUUUUUUGGGGAUCUCUCCUGUGAGACUGUUAGCUGAAAGGUCCAUGCUGGUAACAAGUCCUAGUGUCGUACCGUAUUCAUCCUCUCGUCCUUUCAACACCAAUAAUGCUUUCAAAUAAAUUAAGGAAUCAACGAAAUACGAGGAAGAAAGUUUAUUAUUGGUUUUGUUUGUUGCGACCAUUGCACUUAAAUUAUUGAAACAUUUUGGAAUAACUCCUGAAAUGUUGUUGUGGGCAAGGUCCAAGAUUUGAAGAAAUUGAAGAUCACAAAUUUUACGAGGAAUAUGACCAUCAAAGUUAUUUGAUCGAAGGCUUAGAACCACAAGUUUCGAGAGCUUAUCACCAAUCCAUGCUGGUACACUUCCACUGAAAUGAUUUUCACUAAGAUCAAGCAUAAGUAAUCUACUAGAAUUUUGCAACGUGGAGGGUAAUUCUCCAAACAUAGUAUUGUUUCGAAGGUUUAACAAACAAGGAUUUGUAUAUCCCAAAGAAGGUGGGAUUUUCCCUGUCAAAUUGUUGUUUGCUAAAUUUAAAUAAGCAAAAUAUUCCCAAUACUUCCAACAAUCUGGAAUUUCUCCAAUCAGUAGAUUAUUAUCAAUGAAAAGAGCUGACAUCCCC